rnacentral:lncRNA from 1 species
UGUUAUUUGAACAUUGAGAUUCGUGCUGAGUGCUACUGUUGCGAGAAUAAGAAUGCCGACUGUUACAAGACGAAGACUGAGUGCCUGCAGAAGUGUCAUUCCUACAACGGUUAAUGCCCACCUUCAUCGCGGUUUCUGGGAUAGAAUUCCAUAUGCUCGGAAAAUUUGUCCGUCGGUAAUAAAAGGCACCUUAUAUGGUUUGGGCAAUUAGGUUCCAAUUAAACAUUAGAUAGCCCGCAUGUUUCCGUGGAGAUCCAACAAGGAAAAAUUUGAUGAAAGAAAUCCGAGUAACUAGUUGUCUUGCAUAUUUACAAAGUUCAAAUCCUUUGGUUGUUGUGCUUUGACUCGAUUGUCUAUUAUGCUGUUUCAUUUACUUGCACAUUGCCCACUUGUUCAUUUAACACACAUCACCCACUUGGUGAUUUGGCAGUUGUGGGCAGACAGUCAUAUAGAUUUAUUUUUUUUGAGAUCUCGUCAUAUAGAAUUGUAAUAGCACUGACAUGGAAAAAGUUAAAAACUGAAAAAAGUAAAUCAAACAAACAAAUGGUGCGCAAACUAAAUCAAACGGCACAAGACAAGUGAGAUUUAGUCAGGACUCUUUCAGAUGAAGAUAAGUAAAUUGCAAGAAAACAACAUGCAGAAACAUUUUUAUAUCGUAGCAUAACAUGCAAAAAAGCACAUAUAUAGUACAACGACAACCCACGUGUCUAUAUGCUAUCUAUAUGUAUAUCUAUCUAUCUAUAUCUAUCUAUCUAUCUAUCUAUAUAUCUAUCUAUUUAUACCUACUAAUAAAAGACGGAGCAUUUAUGCCCAUCCGUCUCAUAUUUUGCAACAAAAUACCCUACAUUUUUCUUUAAUUAACCCGCGGUCAAGGUUUAGGUGAGGUUCGUCCGUUGUGCUUUUGCAAAGAACGAGGAAACGGUUGCGUUUUGUAAGAUUCAAACUCAUGAUGUCGCCUCCAUGCCCAAAAGCCACAGCCAACUGAGUUAGCAUGCACUUGUGCUACUAAAUAGGUCCAUUAUUUCAUUAAAUUGUCCAACUUUGAUACUUUGCAUGAGAAUACGCAAAUUUAUAUGUGAUUGCAAAUUGCCUAGAAAUCAACAAGCCAACUCGAUAACCAAGAAAUAGAGGGAGAGGAGGAAUUCACUCAAUAAAUAGUGUUAACUAGCAGGGUUUCCCGCGCAUUUGUGCGGCUAUAUUGACCCUUUCCGAUGCCAACUAUAUGGCCUUUCACUAAACUAUAUUUCGAUUAAAUUUACACCCUGUAUAUGUCAUCAUAGAAAAAAUGAAAAUCGUAAUGAAACAUGCAAGUGCAUUAGGUUGUUCAUUUUAAUAUAGAAGUGCAUUAGGUUUUUAAAUAAAUUCCUUGGCAUGUCAGGUUGCAACACCGAUAAAAAACCAUGUAUGGGAUUUCAUGCCAAUCUUGGUGUUUUUCCUCUUUGAUCACUCCUCCUUUGUAUCAUUUAAUAGGUUUUCGAGAAAUUCCCUACCAAGACAUAAAUCUAAACAUGAAAUUCCGGUAUGUAAAGGUCCCUUUUUCUAGUCAUAUCAAUCAACGGACGCAUUCUUAACUACCUUUUCUUGAUUAUUGCUGCCUACCCACUUAUGUAUCAAGAGAUUCACAUCUUCUAUCGUGCUUAUUUUUUCUAUUGAUAAUAUUUUACAAAAUAUUAUCUUUGACUCCCUCCCUUUUAAUUUCUGAAGACUUUGAAAGUGAAGAAAUUGGUGUGACCUUGAAGACUUGGUAUUCAUUCGAGGAACAUGAAGCGUGAAGACUUUUGUUUUUGUAGUUUCAUUUUCUCUUUCUUGAGUCAUAGGAAACAUCGUACUGUUAAGGGGGUCGAGGAAAUACUAAGGAAAAAUUUCCAAGUGAUGCUCAACUCAAAAUCCUACACCUACCAAUCCCUUCGAGUGAAGCCAUUGGAAAUCUCAUGCAGUUCAAUCAAUUUCUUCAGUGACAGAGACGAAGUACUUCUGGUCUCUGAGAAAUUUGUUCUGACUGAGAAGUUAGGAAUUCGCCAGUGCGGAUUACCUACAAGUGAGGAACAUGAUAGCCCUGAGGAAUUAGACACUCAAAAUUCCGACCGUUGCUGUGCUAUGCGCCAGCUGUCCCAAAAUAUCUUACCCACCUAACGGUCAUAUCAUUGAAGGGCAUUUAUGUCUUAUCAUGUAGGGCUGCUCCCUAGGCUAUAAAUAGCCGCCCCCUACAACCACUAGCUGGUUGGCUGCUCCGAGAGAAACUGACACUUGUCAUUUGAGAGCAUCCCAUCCUCCGAGGACUUUGAGCGAAAAUCAUCAAGUGAGGAAAACCCAAACCCAAACACCUAAAAACCCAAAGUGAUUGAGCAUCACCGAAGAGAUUGAUCCUGCGUGGAUCCGACGCUUGUUACCUUUAAAGACUGUGCAUCUUCCAGACGGUUAGGCGUCAUGGUCUAGAGCAUCCAAGAGGAAAUUGUGGAUCGCCGAGUGACAGAGUUUGUGAAGGUUUGGAAGUCACCUGAAGACUUACCACGAGUGAUUGGGCGAGGUCUGUGUGACCUUAGCUCAAGGAGAAUACGGUGAGGACUGUGUGUCCUCAGGUUUAAAUACCUAGCUGCUCCAACCAGACGUACAACCACUACAAGAAAUAUGUCAACUUGCGACCACCACUAUUGGUCACUGAAAGGUCAUUGUUUUUUAUUUGCGGCCUUUUUUUGACCAAAAACAGAAGGUCAAAAGCUGGCGGUCGUAAACUAAAAUUAACGACAUAUGUAAAAGGUCGUUGGUUCUUCGACCGAAAUUUUGGUCACUAGCAGCCUUCCCAAGCCACGUAAGAUCCAGCGUGGCAAGCUGACAUGGAUAAGAUUCAACCCAGUCCGAUUAGGUGUCUAUAUGGGCCAAGCCCAUUAAUUCAGCCCAUUUAUAUUUUUUUUCUGCUAAUUUUUGGUCGACUUCAUAGGCCAAGCCCAACAAUUCAGCCUUCUAAUUUUCUGGGCCAUGGCCCUUUUGCAGACCAUUUCUUUAAGCAUUUUUGUUCAAGUUUUCCAGAAAUAAAUAAUGUGUCAGUCCACUAUUAUUUGGGCCAUAGCCUUUUUAGAGCCCAUAUAUUAUUUGGUCCAAUAGAACAUUUGGUCUUUUUAUCCACUGAUUUCCAGUUUACACAUUUGGAUAGCAAACACUCAAUAAUUCUCUUGAUUAAAUGAUUAAAUUCAGAAAUCAUUCAGCCAAAUACGCACAACAGCACAUACAAGUCCGCACGUCCAACAUCAACUAAAACAAGCAAAAAUAGAUACACAUGCACGAUACACAAGCGCAUACAAGUGUGCUUACAAGCAAAAACAGAUACACAAGCACCAAAACAUGGUGCAACAUCAACUAAAACUGUGGUGCGCAUCUCCAUGCCUCUUGAUCUUCCGUCACAGCAGCAGCAGCAGCCUAAACAACAUUAGAUCCUGAUCCAGAUCACCAAAAAGAAACAUUAUUAAAUGUUUAGAGACAAUGCCAUCAACAUGAGGCGGUAAUCCAACUUAACACUUUGUCAACAUAUUUUACAUAUGCAAAUAACUAAGAUUAUACUGUAUAAGUUUAAGAUCCAAAUGCAAUAUGAAACUGAAUUGCCAAAUAGUAGCAUGUUUAGACAACUUAACAACAUUAUUAAUACUACUUCAGAUUUGGGCUAGUAGAAGGCCAGGCAGAAUUCAUGAGAACUUUAUUGAAUUCAUUCAAUAGAGGAUAGCACAAACAAAAAACACACUGUCAAAAUGAAUCAUGACUGGAAUUGUAGAUGUUCUGUCGGUUAUACUAUAUUAAACUGAGCCAAUUAUUGUAGGUGAAAGUAAUGCUCCUAGUAUAUCAUCAUCAUUAACAUCAAACAAUUCUGAAUGUAAUCAGAGGAAGCACAGCCCGAUCAUGUGCAAUCAACUCAUAAUAAAAGGGUACAGAUGAUUAUUAGUGUUACUAUUAACUUGAUGGUGGCAUCUUAUAUACAAAAACAUGUAUUCCAAAAAAACAAUCAAUAGGGCCGCUGGAAGGGGAGCCCCGGCUCUAGCAAAAGGUCUUAAUGCUUUAGAGAAAAACAGAUUUAGACAAAUAGGAUUUAGUCAAUAGAACCCCAGAAACCCAUAAAAUCACUUCACAUCCUGAUUCAGCGUUUUGUGUUGAAAUAUUGGCCAUCACAAGUAAUUUUGUGCAAGUCUCAAAACAAGGCAAUAAUGAUAUAAUUACUGAAGCCGCUGAUAUGGUUAGAUUAUUUGCAAGUGACUUCAAACAGAACAUAUGGCAUGCCUUAGUCAUGCCCUAAGGCUAAACAGAACAUAUUUAAGCACCUCCAUGAAUACAGCCAAGUCUCUUAACAUGCUUCUACUACAGAAAUCAUAACAACAGCAGGGUCAAGUUGAGUUAGCUGCAGACCUAGUUGAGUUGUCCCCUUCGCUUGGAGAGGACGACGAUCUCGUCGUUGCCCACGUCCCCCGCCAGCGGCCGACUGCUUCUCCACGGUCUGGAGGGUCAGGCAGAAAUCAUACUGCCAUAGUGUGCCCCUGGUUAACCCGAAUCAGCAGCUCUCCAUCCUACUCCAACAGACUGAACCUCUGCUUGCUAUCUCACCUGACUGCCUACACGCAAGAAGGCAAAAAAAAAACAUUCACUCAAAGCAUCUUACAAUUCACAACAAAUUCGAGAUUGACCCAAUUAAUAAUACAGCAUAUAGAGAUUUCAUAAUCAAAGUUCAUGCUGCUAGGCUGCUAGCUAUCAAGAUGAAAACAACAUGUAGCAGAUACAAGCAUACCAGGAAAGGUGGGCUAGGUGUUUAGUAAGAUCGUCUACUGUUCAGCAGGAAGAUGGGUCAUGACCAAAUAUUACCUCCCUGAUUUCAUCCACCGUGUGGGACUUGAGGGGAACCUUGGCAAAGGUCUGCAGGCUGAGGCCGAGCAGGUCGAGGACCCGCACGUAGUCGUCGCUCUUCAUGCCCAGGCUCAGCUCCGACGCCAUGUGCCGCAAGACCAUCGCCCUGAGAAGAGAAGCACAGACAGAAGGCAGCCGUGAGUGGGUGCCAAGGGAAAAAACAUAAGCCACAACCGAGAAUUGCAAGAUUUAGUAUAAAGGAAAUAGGAUUUCAUAGAUCACCUAACAUGGGUUGCAUUGAAAUCCAAAUGAGUCAACAAAAAUUGACUCCCAUCAACGGCGGGUAUGCGGUAGCAGCUGUUGUCAUGGCAACCAGAAACUCAGAAAUGAUAUUGGCGGCAAACCCAUUACAUGUACCAGACGCCACCCACCUAUCAAAAUUGAUAAACACUUCAGUUGUGUCCGAUCCUAUUGCAGGGCUCGGAAAUGACAAUGCCACAACCCUUUGCAUGUACCAGACCCCAUAAACCUGUCCAAAUUGCUAUAUGCACGACCCGUUACAGUCCACAGUUACAGGAUAUGAUAUGCUCAGAAAUGAACAAAUGCCAAAACCCUUUUACUUGUACCAGACCCCAACCACAUGUAGCUAGCAAAUUAAUCACUUCACGCGUCUGAUCCUCUCAAAUGCUAGACUUGAAGAACAUCAACAAGGCCAACUAAAAUCGGACCCUCCCAAUCAUGGAUUUGGCUCCCAGGUAAGUAAUAAAUCACGCAUCUGAUCAGGUAAAGAGGAAUCAAGAAUAGGAGAAGGUUACCAAUCCCAGCUCUCGGAGGUGUUCUCCACCAGGUUGGGUUGGGUUGUGCGCAGACGUCGUAGAUGAUCGGCUUCUCGAACCACCAGAUGACGAUUUGGGUCCCCUCGGUGUACACCUGCAUGGAGCAAACGCCCAAGGGCGACCAGAAAUCAACCGCAGACCAAACGCGCAGAGAACAACAGGGAGCAAGGGACCAACCGCGGACCAAGCCGCCGUGGCCGCAGAUCCUGGGUGGUCGCUCGCGGAUCCGUCGGCGUCGAAGAUGGAAGGCUGGUCUUGGUGUUUGUCGUGGAAUUGUCACGGCAGAUGUCCUUAGCGUGAGGACUUAGUCGUGAGGCCAGCGCAUCUAUGUAGUAGGUUGAGAGGGGUUGAUUGGGAUGAGAGACGCAGGGCGGAUCAACGCACAAGACAAGGGUUUAGACAGCUUCGGGCCCCGGGAAAUAUCAUCCGGUAAUAGCCCUACAUGCUGUUUGUGGCUAGGUCUCAUUAUACUCAUAAGAGAAUCGCCGGUAAGCCGGCUCUUUGUGUCUAACCCUAGAUAUUGUUUCUUGUUGCUUGUCCCUCUUUGGGGUGCCCUGCCCCUCCUUAUAUAAGUUAGAGGGGCGGGUUACAUGUGGAGUCCUAGUAGGACUAGGACUAGUCUAUCUUCUCUUACAAGUUAAUUACAAGUCCGGGUCUUGCUUCCUCGUAAAGGAAGUAUUCGUCAUCCCUUUCUUCUUAAGCCGGCCCAUCAUAUACGUGAGCCGGCCUUCUGGGCCUUGGGCCUUGUUGUCCAUCUGACCCGCCCGCCGGGUUACUAAUGAGUCGCCAAGAUCGGGCAGGUUAUCUGUGAAUCGCCAAGCUCCGGGCGGGUCACCAGUGAGUCGCCAAUUCCGGCCGGGUCAUACCGCGGGGUAUAUCCCCGACAGUGUUGGCUGAUGAAGACGUCGGGGUCCUUCUUCUCCUCCAACUCCGUCCGUCAGGUACCCAUCCCAUCAGCGCCGCUCCGCUCCGACCGCGAACCCUAACCCUAACAGAGAAGGAUGAGGGAGCUUGUGUGCGGCCAGACACGGAGAUGGAGGCGGACGACGUAGGUAGGGAAGGAAGGAAGGGGAGGGGAGGUUGGCGCACGGCGGCGACAGGCGAGGUCGGUGGUGGCGGCGGGGAGGGGAUGGGGAGGGAGGUAGCGGCGGGGAGGGGAUGGGAAGGGGAGGAAGCGACGAGUGGUUGGGCAGGGUUCGCGAGGACGAGGAGUGGGUGCAGUGGGUUUUUUUCUCCUUUCUUCAGAUGGAUGGAUGGAUGGACGUGGGAUUGCUAGCAAUGGAUGGUAGGAUGUCUGCCAUGUCAUCGAUCCGUGUCAUACAUGGUUCCACCAAUCAAAAUCCAGCUUAUGUAAUUGUGUUUCUUUCUUUUGUCUCCUUUAUAUUUUUUAACCUCUUAUUUGGGGUAAACACUCAACAUAUUAGCCUCAUGUUGUAUGUUUAAAUGACCCAAUAUUGUGCACAUAUGUGUAUCUUAGGAUUUCAAACAAUGAUGAUUUUGUGGUCUUCAUUUGCAUUGCACACAAAAAGAAUUCAUUUUUCGAGUGCCCCAAAUGACUUUUUUUGUGAAGAACCUACCAAAUAAUUGUUGCACAAUUGGACCAACUCAUUUUUCUAAAAUACUAGGACAUAUUUAAUUCACAAUUGACCAAAUGGUUGGGUAUAAAAAGUUUUGAUCCACCUCUGGUGAAAAAGACAAAUUUCCGCUGAUUCAGUUGGAAGCGGGUCAAAUUUGAACUGCGGCUGCCUCAUAGUUUGCUAUUUAUUUUUCUCAAAAAUCAUUUCUAGGUACAAAAGUAUCUAUUUAAUCAGAGAAACACCAAAAAAAUUCCAAGAUUCAACCACUAGCUAGGAACGGUCAUUCCCGCCGUUUUGACCGCAUUUUGAAACAGGCAUAAAAAUUUCAAAACAAAUCAAAAAAAUUGUAAAACCUUCGCAUUGUGCCAUUAUAUGUGACCAAGUUACCAGGAAAAAUAAUAAACUUGUAAUACGGCAAUUCUUUUAAAAAAGUGUUCUCAGAAAUGAGCUAUCAUGUGUGAAGAUUCAUGGCUUUCAAGUCAAAUGAUCAAUCUUAUGGCCAAAUUCAUGGCCUAGUUUGUUCAGAUGGUCUCAUAUUGUGCACAAGGGUGCAUCUUGGAAUUCCAAACAAUGUUGCCUAAGUGAGUUUUCAUUUUCUUUGCACGGAAAAUUCAUUUUCCAUUUUUCGAGUGCCCCAAAUGAGGUUUUUUUUAAGGAACUACCAAAUAAAUGUUGUAAAAUUGGACCAAAUCAAUUUUAUAAAAUACUAGGACAUGUUUAAUGCACAAUUGACAAAAUGGUUGGGUGUAAAAGGUUUUUAUCCACCUUUGGUGAAAAAGACAAAUUUCCGCGAUUCAGUAGGAAGCGUGUCAAACUUGAACUGCAACUGCCUUAUAGUUUGCUCUUUAUUUUUUCCAAAAAUCAUUUCUAGGUACAUAAGUAUCUAUUUAAGCAUAAAUACAUGGUUUGGUGGUGAUACGUUGAGGUUUGGACGGUGGCCCACGGCCCCAACUCCAAAGCGCGUAGACUCACAUGCCCGCCGCGUGGUCAUCGCGUGACCGUGGCGUUGCCAUGCGUUCUGGGAAGCCUAGGCAUGCCUAGUAGGUUUGGCAAUCCCAAGGUAGAUGCUUGGAAGAAAAUAACAACAGAAGAAUCUCACGAGGAGACCGAACAAUGCUCAAACAUGAAUUAGCACCCAAGUGUUUGAUUAGUGGUACGGGAAAUUCACAUGGCCAAUGGGCCUGAGUUUUGGCCGAGGAUGAUCAUCUACUAAGGACACUAUCUUGGAAAAUUUGCAGCUCAAAUGGAGGAGCCUAGGUGUCACUCGCUUUGCAACGUACCACACUGAACAGAAAUAUGAAUGUUGAAGCCACACUCACAUGUAUUGUUAGAUGGGGCUCAAAUUUUGUGGAGAGCUAUGAUUUGGGAAUAUAGAAGAUGUGGCAAAAAUUCAGCUCAUUAGGAUAUGCCUAGCUAGUACUUCCUUCACAACAGUUCGAGUUGAACAAAAACUUUGGAAAUUUGCCGAGGAAGAUUUACCAGGCAAAUGGAGUUGAAUAUUGUCAUGAGGCAAUGAUUUGGAUAGUAAAGAAUGCCCAAUUUUUUUUGGGAAUUUUGGGAAUGACAGAAAUAUAGGUUGCUUCACAACCUAGGGCAAAAAUUGACACAUGGACAUGACACAUAAGCAAAACUGAUGAGGUAGCGCCUAGUCAUAGCAAUAAGUACCAAUGCAUCCACGUUCACAACCUCAUGACCAUUUAUAUUGGUCGUAAUAAGGUAGAAAUAAGGUCAUUGGCCACUCUUGUCUGCUUUGUGACCAUUUGGUGUAAGCAAUUUCAGGGUUUGAGCCCUUCCAAGUGAAAUGGCCGUGGAUUUAUGACCAAUUCAGCUGGGGUCACUAAGAGAAGGUCACAAGUUGACAUAUUUCUUAUAGUGAACUGUCACAGCAGUUGGAACUGGUCUACCAAAUCAUUGUCUUCACCAAGCCUACUGGUUCUAUUUCCUCGACUCUUUCAUUUCCUCAUUACUGUGGUGUGUGCUUGUUCAUAUAUGUUUGAAGACUUUGACUCAAGACUUUCUCAAUUUCCUCAGUUCAAUUUCUUCAGUCUAUUUUGUCUUCAUCCUAUUUUAUCCUGUGCUUACGCUUCCUGUACUCCGUGUCUGUUUUCAUUUCAGCAUGAUGACCAUGUUUAUGUUAUGUCAUGUAUGCAUCUGAGUACUUAUUCCGCUGCAAGUAGUUCUUCGCUAAGGAAUUUCCUCACCCUGAAAUUCAUCAGUGAAGAAUUCAUAAAAAUCGCCUAUUCACCCCCCUCUAGUCGAUUUAACGCACUUUCAUCGUCACAUUAGCAACGCCAGACGCUGAGACGAGCACGUGACACCAAGCCCACCUUGUCUAUCUUACGGUAACGCGAGUCGAGGCGGACGUCGACGCGGUAGCGACGACGGACGCCGAGAUGAGUACGUGACACCACUGCCACCCUGUCUAUCUUAGGGCAACGCGAUUCGACGCGGACGUUGUCGCGGUAGCGAUGAAGGAUGCCGAGACGAGCACGUGACACCACUGCCCCUGUCUAUCUUAGGGUAACGCGAGUCGAGGCGGACGUCAUCGCGGUAGCGGCGACGGACGCCGAGACGAGCAUGUGACACCACUGCCACCCUGUCUAUCUUAGGGUAAUCCGACUCGAGGGGGAUGUCAUUGUGGUAGCGACGACGGACGCCGAGAUGAGCAUGUGACACCACUGUCACCCUGUGUAUCUUAAGGUAACGCGGGUCGAGGCGGACAUCGUCGCGCUAGCGACAACGCACGCCGAGACGAGCACGUGACACCACUGCCACCCUGUCUUAUGGUAACGCAAGAGUCGAGGUGGACGUCGUCGCGGUAGCGACGACGGAUGCUGAGACGAGGACGUGACGCUAGGGCCCCCCUGUCCCCGUCGCGGUAGCGACGAUGGACGAUGAGACGAGUACGUGACACCACUGCCACCCUAUCUAUCUUAGGGCAACGUGAGUCGACUGCCAUUUGAUAUAGGUCAGAACUUUUCUGAAUACUUAGUGUCACCAUGUGAUCCAGACGAAUAAUUAAGAAAGUGUAUAAUUUUACAACCAUGGAUACGUGAGUCGAGGCGGACGUCAUCGCGAUAGUGACGGCGGACACCGAGAUGAGCACGUGACACCACUGCCACCCAUUCUUAGGGUAACGCGAGUCGAGGCGCACAUCGGCGCAUUAGCGACGACGGGCGCCGACACGAGCACGUGACACCAGGGCCACCCUGUCUAUCUUACGGUAACGCGAGUCAAGGCAGAUGUCGUUGUGGUAGCGACGAUGGACGCCGAGACGAGCACGUGACACCACUGUCACCCUGUCUAUCUUAGGGCAACACGAAUCGACACGGACGUCGUCGCGGUAGCGACGACGGACAUCGAGACGAGCAUGUGACACCCUGGCCACCCUGUCUAUUCAAAGUGCGUUAUAUCGACUAGAGGGGGGUGAAUAGGCGAUUUUUAUGAAUUCUUCACUGAGGAAUUUGCGGGUGAGGAAAUUCCUUAGCGAAGAACUACUUGCAGUGGAAUAAGUACUCAAGAGUAAGCAUAGCAGAGCAUAGGCAUGGUCAUCAUGAUGAAAUGAAGACAAACACAGAGUACAGAAAGCGUAAACACAGGAUAGCACAGGAUGAAGACAAAAGGACUGAAGAAAUUGAACUGAGGAAAUUGAGAAUGUCUUCUGUCAAAGUCUUCAAACAUAGAUAUGACAAGCACACAACACAGUAAUGAGGAAAUGAAAGAGUUGAGGAAAUAAAACCAGUAAGCUUGGUGAAGACAAUGAUUUGGUAGACCAGUUCCAACUGCUGUCUCAGUUGUACAUCUGGUUGGAGCGGCUAGGUAUUUAAACCUGAGGACACACAGUCCCGGACACACAGUCAUCACCGUAUUCUCCUUGAACUAAGGUCACACAUACCUCGUUCAAUCACUCGUGGUAAUUCUUCAGGUGACUUCCGAACCUUCACAAACUCGGUCACACGGCGAUCCACAAUUCCUCUUGGAUGCUCUAGACCAUGACGCCUAACCGUCUGGAAGAAGCACAGUCUUCAAAGGUAACAAGCGUCGGAUCCACUCAGGAUCAAUCUCUUCAGUGAUGCUCAAUCACUUUGGGUUUGUAGGUGUUUGGGUUUGGGUUUUCCUCACUUGAUGAUUUUCGCUCAAAGUCCUCGGAGGAUGGGAUGCUCUCAAAUGACAAAUGUCAGUUUCUCUCGGAGCAGCCAACCAGCUAGUGGUUGUACGGGGCGACUAUUUAUAGCCUAGGGAGCAGCCCGACAUGAUAAGACAUAAAUGCCCUUCAAUGAUAUGACCGUUAGGUGGGUAGAUAUUUUGGGACAGCUGGUGCAUAGCACAACAACGGUCGGAAAUUUGAGUAUCAAAUUCCUCAGGGCUGUCAUGUUCCUCACUGUGUAGGCAAUCCGCACUGGCGAAUUCCUAACUCCCCAGUCAGAACAAAUUCCUCAGAGACCAGAAGAACUUCGUCUCUGUCACUGAAGAAUAUGACUGAACUGUAUGAGAUUUCCAAUGGCUUCACUCGAAGGGAUUGGUAGGUGUAGGAUUUUGAGUUGAGCAUCACAUGGAAAUUUUUCCUUAGUAUUUCCUCGACCCCCUUUAACAGUACGGUGUUUCCUAUGACUCAAGAAAGAGAAAAUGAAACUACGAAUACAAAAGUCUUCACGCUUCAUAUUCCUCAAAUGAAUACCAAGUCUUCAAGGUCACACCAAUUUCUUCACUUUCAAAGUCUUCAGAAAGUCUUCAGAAAUUCAAAGUCUUCAGUCGAAGAACUUCAUUUUUAGGGGUUGACUUUCUCUGUAAAUAUCAAACUCCUCAUAGACUUAACCUGUGUACACUCAUAAACACAUUAGUCCCUUAACCUAUAAGUCUUCAAUACAUUAAAAUCACUAAGGGGCACUAGAUGCACUUACAAUCUCCCCCUUUUUGGUGAUUGAUGACAAUAUAGGUUAAAUUUUCAACGGGGAUAAACAUAUGAAGUGUAAAUACUGAUAUUUAGGAAUUUGAUUGCAAGAUAUAGAAGAACUCCCCCUGAAGAUGUGCAUAGUGAGGAAUUUGUUUUUGAAGCAAUGCACACUUGAAGAGUUGAAUCAUGGAGAUCUCCCCCUAUAUCUUGUAAUUCAUACACGCAUUUGACAUAAUAUAUGAAGAAUUUGAAAUGCAUGAUGAAAUAUGGUGACUGAUGUAAUUCAGCAUGCGUGCAAUAACAUUAACGAGGAAUAAGCAUGCAAAAGAAACAACAAAAGUAUCAGGCCACCAUAGAGUUUUAAGUUUACAACUCGAUAUAACAAAGUCAUCAGAAGAACGAGAGUUGUAACUUAGAAAAAAACGCCCAUAAAAGAUAGACCCGCUUGAAGACUAACUCAAAUUUCUCCCCCUUUGUCAUCGAAUGACCAAAAGGUUCGAAAAUGAGGACUAACGCCCCAGAAGAAUAUCAAGUUGAUGAAGGAGCGCCAGCGUUGUUGGGGUCAUUUGUUGAUGUAGGGCCUGCCGCAGUGUCGUCCAAGUCUUCAUGCUUAUCAGUUUCACGCGAUGAAGAAUAGGAGCUGGCCACCAAGGAAGGAACCUUGACCUUCUUGUAUUUCUUCGGUGGAGGUGCAGACCAGUCAAAGUCCUCCUUGAGACCCAUGUUCUUCAUAUCUUCUUCGCUGUAAAUGUGAGACAGAACAGCCCAGGUGCGACCGAAGACUUCAUGGAGGUAGUAAUGGUUUUUCUUCACUGCAUUAUGUGUAGCAGUCAUGUUGUGAAGAAUUGAACCAAACUGACGCUUAACCCAUUUAUGGUUUCGAUCCACCUUCUGGUGAAGACUUAGCAUAAGUUCACGGUCAGUCAUCACACGAGGAGCAGUAGCUUGAGGAUUUGGCUUGGAGGCAUGGGCAGCAGAAUCAUGAGUGGCAGAGUCAUCAUUGGUGGAAUAAGAUGCAGCCUUGGGAAAUUGACCAUCCAAUGGACGAAUGCCUUCAUCUAUAACAGCUGGUGCCUUGCCCUUUUCGUCAGCUGAGGAAUAGGUCCACUUGAGGACUUCAAUCGGGGGCAAGUAGCUGAGGUGAUUCUGAAAAUCAGCUUUGUAGUUGAGUGAAGACCUUGUUCUGAUGAAUCUCAUAAUCCACGGUGCAUAAGGCUUCAACUCAAACGGUGAAAGUGCAACAUUUGCCAGAGUCCUCAUGAAGAAAUCAUGAUAAUUGACAGGAAUGCCAUGAAUGAUGUUGAAAACCAGAUUCUUCAUGAUGCCAACAAUUUCCUCAUCAGAUGAGUCGUGGCCUUUGAUUGGACUCAUAGUCUUCGUCAGAAUGCGAUAGACUGUCCUUGGUACAUACUGCAAUUCCUUCACGAGGAAUUUUGUCCUUGAGGCUUGACCUGGUUUCCAUGGCUUCAUCAGCACUUGCAUAUAGUGAUCAGUAAGCUCAGGUUCUUGGUACAUGCAACAAGCUCCUUCAGGUGGAGAACUGAUGGGCAGGGCGUGAAGUAAUUCAGUGGCCGGUUCCUUAUAGUGAGUAUUUUCAGCCAUCCAGUCCAAAACCUAGGAGUUCACAUCGUCAGGAUCUCCCGUGAUGUGUAAAGUUGCGUAGAAUUGAAGAAUGAGUUCUUCAUUCCAAUCAACUAUGUCUGUGCAAAAGUUGAGGAGGCAUGUGUCAUGAAGCACACUGAGGACAGGAGUGAAGCAUGGCAGUGAUUCCAUGUCCACAUGAGGAAUAUGCUCGUGGUCGAAGACUUUUUCCUUGUUGAAGAGCAGUGAAGAAUAGAAGUUGGCCUAGCUGGCGGUCCAGAAGCGCUUCCUUCUAAGACGAGCAGAAUCAUAGGGAUUGUAGUCAGUGAAGAACACGUGCUCGCCAAAGAAAUCAUCAGCCUUGAAUUUCUGUGUCACAUCCCUAGUUCUGGUAUGACCUAGGCUAGCUAGUCAUGUGUGCAUCAUGUUUAAAUUCCAUUUAAAUUUGAAGUGGGGAUCUGUGAAACCCUCAGAAUCAUUUCUGGAAAUGACCCAGAUAAAAAUUGCUCCAAAAGGGUCCAAGAAAAUGUUCAUGUUGCUCUCUGAAAAUAUUGGACAGAGAUAAAAAUCAAACCAAUAUUUUUAGGAGAUCAUAAAUAUUUAUUUUGGGCAUUUGGAAUUAAUGCAGUAAUUAUUUGCUUUGGAUAUAUAUUGUUAUAUAUAUAUAUAAUAUUGUCCAAAAAUUAUGCCAUUUGUUGAGGAGUUAUGGAAUAAUACCACUAGCCCCUACAAAAAUUGGCAUAAGAAAAUAAAAUGAUUUAGUAUUCUACUAAAUCAGAACAAAUGUCAGAAAAAUAGAAAAGAAAACAAAAAGGGAAAAGCUUACCUGUGCUCACCCAAGGCCUGGCCUGGCCCAGCAGCCCAGCAGGCCGGCCCAGCCGACUGGCCAGUGCCAGUCAUCGUCCUCCUGGCGCCAGGAGGACGAUGGGCACGCGCUCGCUGCCCGCGCGCAUGCGCGCCACCUCCUGCUUCUCCCCCCUCAUCGCCCUGGACGCCUCCCGCAAUGCCACGCACACCCCUGACCCCUCUCACUCUCCCUGGACCCCUUUCCCCUCCUCUGCUCUCUGUUCCGCGCCGCCCGAGCGGAGCUCGUCGCCGCCGACGUCGUUCACCGUAGCCUCCACCUCCUCCUCAACCUCUCUCCACGCCCAGAAGCUCCGCCAUCGUCCCCCUCAUCUUCACGACCGAGCCACGCAAGCCCGGAGGCCCUGCAUCGCCGGCAACAUCACCAUCUUCCUCCUCCGCCGCCCUGGAUCGCCGACGUUGAUUAGUCGCCGUCCGGCCUCCCCCGAGCUCGCUGACGUCUCCAAACUACGUGGGGUGAGCCCCUCUUCGUUUCGCCCCUAUCCCCGUCGCCCCGCACGUCCUCUAGCACUAGCGCCGCCGUGCCCGAAGCUCGCCGCCGCCCUGCCAUGUCAUUGUCGUGGGCACAGCCGCCUCCGCCCGCUUUUGAGCUUACAGCCGUGCUAGUUGAGCUCGCAGGAGUCCGUAGCACUGCCCAGUGGUGGAAAUGGUGCACCGUAGAAUCGACCCGCACAACGCCGUGGCUCUGUCGCCGUUGAACCUCGCCGCCGGCGAGAUUCCGGCCUCCCGUGACCUCCCGUCUGGUCCAUCAUAUGCACGAGAGCAAGAGCUCAUGCCCGGUGCCUCCCGAGCGACAAACCGCAGCCCCUAGCAUGUUUCCGGCAAUCUUCCGCCGCGGUUUGAGGUCGCCGCCAGCCAAACUCCGGCGUGCCGACGUGGCACGGCCAUUAGUGGUUAAACCCCACUAAUUAGCCGCCCUACAGCCGCUGACAGCGGGCCCCACAGCAGGUCAAAGGUGAGUCAACGCGGGGUUAACCCCUGUCUCACUGACCAGUGGGCUCCGCCAGUCAGAUUUGACCCUGGCCAGCCCGUUGACCUGCUGACGCAGCGAUGACGUCAUGCUGAUGCAGUAAAGGAUUUUCUGGAUUUAAAUUAAAUCAGGAAAUUCCAGAAACUAGUAAAACUUCUAAAAUUCAUAGAAAUUCAACCGUAGCUCAGAUUGAAAUAAUUUAUAUAUGAAAAAUUAUCAGAAAAAUGCAAUCUAUCCAUCUGUACUAGUUUCAUGCAUGACAAACCAACUUAUACCUACUGUAUAAGUGAAAACAUAUAAAUGGAUUAUAUAAGGACUUAAAUUAGAGUCGCAUUUGAACCUUUGGUUCAAAUGGAUCUCUUCCAAGUUGAAUGCUAAAUGCAUUGGCUCAAAAUACAUCACAUAUACAUGCCAUAUUCAUGCAUCAUAUUGCUGCAUAUGAUUGUGUUUUUGACUGUCGACACCGUUCCCUCUCGAUAGGUCCUGCUCCGGAGAGUGUUCCAGAGUACCUGUCUGAGGAGCAGUGCCACCCUGUUGAUCUACUAGGCAAGCAAACCCCCUUUGUUCAUUCCGAUACAAUCCUACUCUCUCGCUCCUGCUCUCUUUUACUGCAUUAGGACAACAACGAUUCAACUGCUACUUUAUGCUGCGGUAGUUGAACCCAUUCCUCUGCAUGACCUGUCAUUGCCACAGUAAAUAGUUGAAACCCACUAGCAUGUGUAGGAGUUGAUUGAGCCAUGUUGUGUUCCUACCAUGCCAUGCCUACUAUUGCUUAGAGUUGUGUCAGGUCUGAUUCAUUGGGAAUGAAUUGGAGUGUUACGAUAUGUUCUGGUGCCGAGAGUUAAGCGUGUGAACACGAUUUGGUAAAGGUAGCGGUGAGAGGCCAUGUAGGAGUACAUGGUGGGUUGUCUCAUUGGAACCGUCCUUAAGCACUGAGUUCUGUGUAUGUUGUCCAAUGACUAGCUACUACCACACAUUGGGUUCCGGUAACUCGACCCCUCUCGACUUAUUAACCAACUUGAUCUCUGUCCAGGAGUUGCAACUAGUUUCUGGUGUUUGUAGGUAGUGCUAUUUUUCUACCGAGUGGCACCCGGCAGGGUGGGCUUGGGACAGACUAGGCACACGUGGCCCGGUGUACCCAGUGGCACCCGGAUGGUGGGCUCGGGAACCCUGUACACAUCGUUUGGGGCCGUGAGCGACACCCCGGCCGGAUCUCCUUGCGGAUGGAACCCGAAUAGGUGAUAAACCUGGACUAGAGUCUUGUGUGGUUAGUCAGGUCGUGGCCGACACCCUCGCCAGGCUUCCGCUUGAAGGUUGCCGAGGUACAUGACGUGUACAUGGCGGUAAGUGGCGAGAGCGUGUGUGACGCAGUACACCCCUGCAGGGUUAUCAUGAUCUAUUCGAAUAGCCGUGUCCUCGGUUAUGGACUUCUUGGAUGCUUACGUGGUACAUAGACAACCUGAAGUGGAUACUCUAAAAUGCUCAAGAUAAGUGUGAGUGCUAUGGAUGGCUUCUUGUAGUGAGACGGGAAUGAAUCCAUAGUGGUGUAUUGAGGUGGUGAUUAGUGGACUCGUGUGCGCCUUCUUACCUCAAAGAAGUCUCUCGUAGUCGUAGAACAGGAUAGCCACUGAGUCAAAGCUGGCUUGCUGCAACUAAACCCCACACUACCUUCUUGAUACAAAUGCAUGUAAGAUAGGAUCUGAAGUAAGUCUUGCUGAGUACCUUUGUACUCAUGUUGCUUUGUUAAUGUUUUUGCAGCGGAGACUUCAGUCUUACUAGUUGCUCCGCUUGGACUUCGACGAGUAGCUUGUACCUCAACUACGAUCUUGUACCCUUGGGAGGGUCUUGUAGAUAGUCAGGCUUCUCAGCCUUUUUCUUUUGUAGUUGUCUGUACUCACAAAUGUAAUGCUUCCGUUGCUUGUAUGCUCUGAAUGAUGGGUCAUGUGACCCCUGUUGUACUUAAUGCUAUGUGGCUCUUCUGGGCCUUUUAUCUAUAUGAGUUUGCGUUAUGUUGUGAUGCCAUGUUGUACAGCACAUACUUGCAUGUUAUGCGUACGUGUAACGUGUAUUGCUAUGUGUGGGAUCCGACAAUCUAGUUGUUUAUCCUUGGCAGCCUCUCUUAUGGGGAAAUGUAGUCUAGUGCCUCCUUGAGCCAUAGUAGUCCGCUACAGCCCGGUUCACCGGAGUCCUGCUAGCCCAGCACUACUGCUCUGGACACUUGACUGGCCGGCAUGUGUUUCAUUUCAUUCCUGUGUCUGUCCCUUCGGGGAAAUGUCACGCGGUGACAUCCGGAGUCCUGCCUAGCCUGCUACAGCCCGGGUUCCCGGAGUCCUGUUAGCCCAGUGCUACAGCCCGGAUUCACACGCUGCUGACCGACACGCUCGAUGUUGAUUCAUGUAUGCAUGUACCCAUACGUUAGUGCCGCUUUGGGUUCACGACUAGCCAUGUCGGCCCGGGUUCUCUGUCAUAUGGAUGCUAGCGACAUUGUCAUAUACGUGGGCCAAAAGGCGCAAACGGUCCCGGGCCAUGGUAAGGCGACACCCGUGGGAAUACCGUGCGUGAGUGUCGGGACCCCGAUUCCAAGUCACACCGAUCUAGCCUGUAACACCUCAUAUCACUUNNNNNNNNNNNNNNNNNNNNNNNNNNNNNNNNNNNNNNNNNNNNNNNNNNNNNNNNNNNNNNNNNNNNNNNNNNNNNNNNNNNNNNNNNNNNNNNNNNNNNNNNNNNNNNNNNNNNNNNNNNNNNNNNNNNNNNNNNNNNNNNNNNNNNNNNNNNNNNNNNNNNNNNNNNNNNNNNNNNNNNNNNNNNNNNNNNNNNNNNNNNNNNNNNNNNNNNNNNNNNNNNNNNNNNNNNNNNNNNNNNNNNNNNNNNNNNNNNNNNNNNNNNNNNNNNNNNNNNNNNNNNNNNNNNNNNNNNNNNNNNNNNNNNNNNNNNNNNNNNNNNNNNNNNNNNNNNNNNNNNNNNNNNNNNNNNNNNNNNNNNNNNNNNNNNNNNNNNNNNNNNNNNNNNNNNNNNNNNNNNNNNNNNNNNNNNNNNNNNNNNNNNNNNNNNNNNNNNNNNNNNNNNNNNNNNNNNNNNNNNNNNNNGCCUUACCAUGGCCCGGGACCGUUUGCGCCUUUUGGCUCACGUAUAUGACAGUGUCGCUAGCAUCCAUAUGACAGAGAACCCGGGCCGACAUGGCUAGUCGUGAACCCAAAGCGGCACUAACGUAUGGGGACAGGCAUACAUGAAUCAACAUCGAACGUGUCGGUCAGCAGCGUGCGAAUCCGGGCUGUAGCACUGGGCUAACAGGACUCCGGGAACCCGGGCUGUAGCAGGCUAGGCAGGACUCCGGAUGUCACCGCGUGACAUUUCCCUGAAGGGACAGACACAGGAACGAAGUGAAUCACAUGCCGGCCAGUCAAGUGUUCCGGAGCAGUAGUGCUGGGCUAGCAGGACUCCGGUGAACCGGGCUGUAGCGGACUAGUAUGGCUCAUGGAAGCACAAGACUACAUUUCCCCAUAAGAGAGGCUACCAAGGAUAAACAAGUAGGUUGUCGGAUCCCACACAUACCAAGCAUUUCAAUCAUACACACAAUAUGCUCGAUAUGUGCAAAUACAACAUGGCAUCACAACAUAACUCUACGACUCAAGUAUUUAUUCAUUAGGCUCCGAGGAGCGAGAUAUUACAAACAUGGGUCUCAUGACCCAACAUUCAGAGCAUAAAAGGCAAACACAUGCGGAAGCUUAACAUGUCUGAGUACAGACAUUUACAAAUGGAAAAGGCUGAGAAGCUUGACUAUUUACUAGAUCCUGCCGAGGGCACAAGAUCGUAGCUGAGGUAUCAAGCUAAACGUCGAAGUCCACAUGAGACUAAUAGCGAGACUGACGUCUCUCUGCAAAACAUAAAAUAAGCAAACGUGAGUACAAAUGUACCCAGCAAGACUUACAUCAGAACUAUCUACAUAUGCAUCGGUAUCAACAAAAGGGGUGGUGGAGUUUAACUGCAGCAAGCCAGCUUUGACUCGGUGGCUAUCCUAAACUACGACUGCAAGUAACUCUUUUGAGGUGGCGCACACGAGUCCACAUAUUCACCAUAUCAAUACACCACUAUGGAUCCGCUCCCGUCUCCCUACGAGAACGCCAUCCAUAGCACUCACGCUUAUCUUGCGCAUUUUAGAGUAUCCACUUUCACUUGUCUAUGAACUGUACAGGCAACCCAGAAGUCCAUUUCCGCGGACAGGGCUAUUCGAAUAGAUGAUGUUAACCCUGCAGGGGUGUACUUCGACACACACACUCUCACCACUUACCGCCGUUUACACGACAUGUACUCGGCAACCUUCAAGCGGAGGCCCAGCGAGGGUGUCGGCCAUAGCCUACCUAAACACUCAAGUCUCUAGUCCAGGUUUAUCGCCUAUUCAGGUUCCAUCCGCAGGGAGUCCGGCCGAGGUUUCCACAUACGGCCCCGAACGAUGUGUGCGGGGUUCCGAGACACCAAACGGGCGCCCGGCAUACCCGGCCACGUGCCUACCGCAUCACAGCCCACCCCUCCGGUCAGCGCUGCCCACGGCCUCCAGCAUACUACAAACACCAGAAACUACUUGCAACUCCUGGACAGAGGACAAGGGUGAUUAAGAAGCCGAGAGGGUCCAUUGGUAGUAACUGUAUCAUGGAUCACAAACACAGAACUCAGUUCCUGAGGACGGCUGCAAUGAGACAACCCACCAUGUACUCCUACAUGGCCUCUCACCGCUACCUUUACCAAAUCGUGUUCACACUCUUAGCUUACACACAGUAGGACAUGUUCAUCACCAUUCCAAUUCAUCCCCGACGAAUCAGACCUGACACAACUCUAAGCAAUAGCAGGCAUGACAAACAAGCAUGAAUGAGUAGGCACACCAGGGCUCAAACAACUCCUACUCAUGCUAGUGGGUUUCAUCUAUUUACUGUGGCAAUGACAGGUCAUGCAGAGGAUAAGGGGUUCAACUACCGCAACAAGUAACGGUUGAAUCGUUGUUGUCCUAAUGUAGUAAAAGAGAGCAGGAGCGAGAGAGUGGGAUUGUAUCGGAAUGAACAAGGGGGUUAUGCUUGCCUGACACUUCCGAAGAUAGUAUAGCUCUUCAUCGGUGUCAUCGAUCUCAUCGUCGGAAUCACGGCUAUUGAGAGGGGACAAUCACCGGCAAACAAGGAAGAACACAAUCAAUGCAAUGCACAAUAUGAUGCAUGAUCAUGACAUGGCAAUAUGACGUGAUUUGGCCUAAUGCAAUUAGCAACAGAAAGGUUUGGGUUGAUUUGAACUCAAGGUUCAAAUUCAAAUUCAAACUAUGAAUUCAAAUAGUGCAUUAUCAUGUUUUCACCUAUACAGCAGGUAUAACUUAGUUUGACAUGCAUGGAAAUGAUACAGAUGGAUAGAUUGCAUUUUUCUGAUCAUUUUUCAUAUAUUAAUUAUUUCAUUCUGAGCUACGGUUGAUUUUAUAUGAUUUUGAGAAGUUUAUACUAUUUUCUAGAAUUUCCUGAUUAAAAAUAAAUCCAGAAAAUGUAAUACUGCAUCAGCCUGACGUCAUCACUGCGUCAGCGAGUCAACGGGCUGGCCAGGGUCAAACCUGACCCGUGGGACCUGCCUGUCAGUCUCUCAGUGCCUAAUUAAGUUUAGGUUUUAAACUAAACUAACUUUUAACAGGGGCUGGCCCCACACGUCAGUGGGUCAGGGGGGAAGUCAAACCCCGGUCAAGCAGGGUCAAACCCGCCGGACUUGGUCCACGGCUCGUCGCCUGUGAAACCCGGGACGGCGGAGGGGCUCGGGAUUUGCCCACGGUCGACCAAAUCGACCGCGGUUUGGUCCUACGCGUAGCUGGGGCUCGCGCGCAUCUAGUAGGCCAAGCGGGAGGAGCUGGGGUGGUCUAAGUCGACGGCGGCGAGCACGAAUGCGGCGGCCGGAGUUCGGGCGUCGGUGGUUUUGCUGCUGUAGCGUGCUAGUGGGUGAAUGGAUGCACUAGCGAGACGCUACGAGGUGCGGUGAGUGUGUUAGGCACCGCGCGGGACCAAAUGGUCACCGGAGUGAUGCUGGCGUCGAGCUCGCGCGGCGGCGUGCUACGGUGAGCAAGGGGGCGGCGUCUACAAUGAGCAAACGGAGCAGAGAGGAGGGGGGUUCGACGCAGGGGCUCACAGUGAGUGCAGAGGUGGCCUCGGCGUGCUCGGGGAAGCACCGGAGCGAGCGGGGCGGCGAGAGGGAUCUCCGGCGUUGGGAGGUUGAAGACGACGACGUGGAGGCACUCGGGGGCGUCCGGCGUUGCACAGCUCGACGAGGAGGAAGAGGGAUACUAGGCGGAGCUCUUGGGCAUCUCAGGGCGUCGCCGGGAUGGCGGUGUCCGCGGUGGUGGCGAGCGGCGGCGACGGAGGCGUUCGGGCGGGAAGAACAGAGGAGGGGGAGAGCGUUCGGGGGAGAGGUCGAGGCGUCGAGGGGGUGUCGUGGCGCCGUCUAGGUGCAAUGGGGAGGAGCCAGGCAGGCUGGGAGGGAGGAGGUGGCCGCGGCGUGUAGCUGCGCGCGUCGGGCACGCGCCCUCGCCUACUGGCGCGAGGAAGGCGACAGGAGAGCGCCUGGUGGGCUGGGCCGCCAGCUGGGCCGGCCAGGUGGCUGUGGUGGGUGCCACGUAGGUAUCUCCUCUCUCUGCUUUCUGUUUUUCUAAUUUGUUUCUGUUUUCUAAUUAUUUGCCUCUGUUUUGGGCUUAGGAAAAAUACCAAGGCAUUUCCUAAAAUCCUGAAAAUAUUCAUGGACACUUGCUGAAUUAUUUCAGUGGCCCAAAAAUAGUUCCAACAUUAUUUGAACAUUUAAAUUAUUUAUAGCAUUUAAAUGCCCAAAAUUCAAAUACAAUAAGAUUUAAUUCAAAAAUCCAGGAUGGCCUAGAAAUAGGUGCAUCAUUUUUGGCAGAGGUUUUCACCUUUAACAAAAAUCAUGAACUUUUCUAAAGGGCAUUUGGGUUCAUUGAAAAUAUUGUUUACUUGAACCUAGUUGAAUGCAUUUGGUGCUAGGGUUUCAACAUCCCCAUUUCAAGUUUCUUUGAAAAUUAAACAUGAUGACAUGAGGAACAAGCAAAAGUCAAACAAGGGCUGAUCUGGGGCUGUGACAGUGAGGCCGCAAAGUGAUAUGAGGUGUUACAUGCUAGAUCGGUGUGACUUAGAAUCGGGGUCCCGACAUUCUGCUUCUUUGAGAAUGGAUCCUUUGGCUUGGGCUGAGGAGUGUCAGUCAAUUGCAUUAUCACCUCAGGAAUCGCAAUCUCAGGUUCUUCAGGCUGAGGAAUUUCAGCUUCUACUCCAGUGACAGCCUGGGUCUUCAAUUCUUCAUGUACAUUUUCUUCAGCACUAGUGGCUGGAAUUUCUUCAUGGAUAGAUGGGGUUGCACGAGGUUCUUCAGAUCCCAUUUGUACUUCAGUAGCAACAGGGGACUGAGGAAUUUGCUGUAAAGGUGUGAAGAGUGGAGAGUUGGGGUGCUGACUUUCCCAAAAGUCAUCAUUCAUCACUGGUGUGGUACAGCCAAUGUCCACGUCUUCAUCUUCUAUUUCUUCAAUGCCGGCCUCUUCAGCAGUAAACUGAGGCAUAGGCGAGGAAACAACUGGAGUUGAAGGGAUUUCAUCCACUUCAAUUUCUUCGUCCAUCUGCUCUGACGAAGCAGCAGAAGGAUUUUCUUCAUCAGAUCCGCUAGGGAUCAAAUAUUCUUCAUCAAAAGGAACAAGGUCCUUUGAUGGCAUGGUUGAGAUCGGAACAGCAUCAAUGGGGUUUGCAACUGAGCUGGUCAAUUUCUUCAUCUUCUUCGGAGCUGAAGAAUCUGAUGAAGCUGAUGCUUUCCUUUUCUUCACUGCUGCACGCUCUGCAGCCUUGGUCUUCUUCACAUCUGAUGCAGAUGGAAGAAUUGGAGUUGGGGUAGGCGCAGGAGGAGCAGAGGAAUGUGGUUGGUUUUCUUCAGGCACAACUGAUGCAGUUGCCCUGACCUCUUCAUUUUCUUCAGGCGCACCACUAGUGGAUGCCCUGGCAAUUUCAUCAGCGGCAGGAAUGCAGUCAUCAGCCCUAGACCUCACAUUUUCUUCAGCAUCCUGAAUGUCAUCAGCGGUGCUGGCAUGUUCUUCAGUUGGCUGAGCAGAUGCUUCAGUCUGAGGAAUUUCUUGUUGCGAUGGGGCUGCAACAUUGGAGGUGAACUUCUCAGUCAGUUUAACAAACCUGACCUUGGCUCCUUGCCAAUCAGCAAAGUAAGCAUUGAAAUCAUCGCUGAGGACUUUGAUUUCAGACUGGAUCUUCACAAGAUCAUCAGUUGUCAUAGAGACAACGUUGUUCUUCAGGAAUUUCUCCUUCCCGUACUGCGCUUUCUUGAUCUGCCUGGCCUUCUCAAAUUUCCAUUUCUCUUCUUGGAUGAAGGCAGUCAGCAUAUGAUUUUGGCCAGGAGUCAGCUUGAAGUCAGGCAUAGGAGUGUUUGGGUCCUUGUGCCAGAGAUCAAUGUAAUUGAGGACCAACUUUGGAUCCAAAAGCAGAGGCACAUUUGUGCCCUUGGCUCUAGCGGCCCUGACUUGCCUAUCUCUGAUGAUUUCAGCAAGUUCUUCAUCAUCAGCUUCGUCUUCUUCAGACGGCACUUGGAAGGCGACCUGCUUCUUGUGAGGACUUGGGCGAGAACCUCGUCCAGCAGUGGUCUUUGUCUUCAGCAGAGAGGGUCCUGUUGAAGAAUUUGGAGCAGCCGAGGAACUAGCUGAAGCUCCUGAGGCAAUAAAGAUCCCUGUAGUCCUUUGGCACGUGGCAAGAUGCACAGGUGCUGAGAAUUUGGUCGGAGCAGCUGAGGACUUAUGCGGAGGAGCUGAGGAUUUUGGAGGAGCAGGAGCAGCGUGAGGAAUUGGCCGUGAGGGCUUUGAGGAUUCUGGCCGUGAGGGCAUUGAAGGUGAAGCAAUUGGCUUACGCGCAGGCUUCUUUGCCAUGGAUUUCUUCGGUUUGACAGAGGCCUCAGCGGCAGCAGCAGCAGGAGAGUCUUCAUUGAAUUUCCUCACUGCUUCUCUGGCUUGUCUAGCCAGCUUGGCCUGGCGCUUGGCCCAUUCAUCAGGAUAAUCCUCACCACGCUUGAGGCUGGUGGGAUCAACUUCUUGGCCAGGUGCCAACGGAGGUCUUGGGCAUGGAGGAUUGAGUGCGAAUUUCUUCAUGUACUUGGGAGUCACAUACAUGUACUCCCUCCACUCUCUUGCCCAUCUCCUCUCUAUCUUCUGAAUGCGCACCUUGCGCUGAUUUUUAUCUUCCUCAGGGGGUGUGCAGUACCCAGCAUAGAUGUCCUCAGGGAUUUCAAAUGCAGUGUUGACCUCAGGCCUCUUUCCUCCUUUCUGUGGCUUCUUUCCAUCAACCAUUUUCUUCAGAUGAGGAAUUUGAACAAUUGAAUUCUCUGAAGAAGUAUGCAACUUUUCUUCGAGGAACGCUACAAAUGAGUUAAGUUGAUGAGAACCUAGAGAUUCAACAGCGGACAUGAGUACCUGUGAACAGAGUAUAGUUGCGAGGAAUUUGGAGAGGUCAUAUGCGUUCUCAAAAGGUUUUUCAAAAAGAACAAGUUUUAGGAAUUUGACCAGAUGAGUCUUGAAGAAUUUCACUAAGCGUUCUUUGUCUUAGGUUCCAGAGUUGCAUAGAUCGAAGAUCCACACAAUUGAGGAAUCUUGAAGAAAAAUUAUUGCUUAGAGAAAUGAAUCAAGAACAGAUGACAUGUGAGGUGUUUAGUGUGUGAAGAAUUUGAAGAAUAAACACCUUUGAAGAUUUUGUAGAAAUCAUUUGAAUCAAAGAGGGCAGUAAAAGUAACUUUUAAUUACCCUGGACAAAGAACACGACGAACUGUGAGGUAGAGAUGAGAAGUUCGUCUGUGCAGAUCUUCCACGCCCUAACUCGGCGGAGGAAGACGGCUACGGGCGGCGGCGGAGUGAAGAUUUCCGCGGUCGGCGCGAGUACGGCGGCGACGAGGUCGAGGCAGUGAAGCUCUUCCUCACCGGCGACGAUGAAGUAGCGGCGGUGCUAGGGUUUGAGAAGCUCGAGCUGGAGAGAGGUCGAGCGGAGUAAAGGAAGGGAGGAAGGGGAGAUGGGGUAUUUAUAGCCACGGUGAAAAACUGUUCGCCCGAAGAUUUUGGACGAACGUGCCCCUGACCCUUCUCAUUCGCUUGACAUGUGUCACCCACGUACUGAGAAGUGGAGAUCGUGUUAGAUCGUGGGUGAAUAGAUAAGUAUUUCAUGGGAUGCGGAACGGUUUGAGCGGCAAAGCCGAAAAUUUGGAUAAGAUAAGUUAAAAGUUCCGUUCGCAAAUUCUUCAGCUGACAAGGACACAGUGAAGAUUUUGAACGAGUUUCAAAUAGAACGCACAUGAAGAAUUUGUGAAUAGAUUGGGUUGAGUAUAGCAUAGAGGGCGAAGGGUCCGAUCACAUUCACUUAGCAGGAAAACCAACUUGAAGAGUUAGCCAUAAGUGAAUGUUGCAGAGUAUAUAUAUAUAUAUAUAGCCAAUGAAGAAAAACGACGGAAACAGUGAAGACAAUGCAAAGUUGAAGAAAAUGAACAACUGAGGAAAGACUUGAAUUGAAGAUUUUCAACUUUUGGUGGUGGCGUGACCCACCGUAUAAGAAUGAUGAUUUUAGACACCGCGUACAAUUGUCGUAGGGUUCUGAGAAUCAAAUUCUUCGUUAAUUUCUUCACACUUAGAGUGUUAUUCUUCAUUGAUUGAAGAAAAACGUUUCUUCAUGUGUUGCGCAUCUAAGUCAUCAAUUUUGCAUAAGUGUUAGGAUGAGUGUCCUUUUCAAAGAACAUUCGAAGAUUCUAAGAUAUUUAGCUCACACUGCAACUUGCUAAAUCUCUUCUCAUCCAAGGGCUUUGUGAAGAUAUCGGCUAGCUGUUCUUCAGUCUUCACAUGCUCAAUAGAAAUGUCACCCUUCAACACAUGAUCAAGAAGAAAAUGAUGACGAAUCUGAAUGUGCUUUGUCUUCGAGUGCUGAACUGGGUUGUGAGAAAUCUUGAUGGCACUCUCAUUGUCACAGUAGAGAGGCACAUUCUUCAUGUUGACGCCGUAGUCCUUGAGAGUUUGCUUCAUCCACAGCAAUUGAGCACAGCAAGAACCAGCAGCAAUGUACUCAGCUUCAGCAGUAGACAGUGAUACGCAGUUUUGUUUCUUUGAGGACCAACAGACCAAAGAUCGUCCGAGGAAAUGACAUGUACUAGAUGUUGUCUUGCGGUCCACACGAUCACCAGCAUAGUCAGAGCCAGAAUAUCCAAUGAGAUCAAAAGCCGAGCCCUUGGGGUACCAUAAUCCAUGUGUUGGUUUGUGAGCUAGAUAUUGAAGAAUAUGCUUCACAGCCUUAUGGUGUGAUUCCUUCGGUGUAGCUUGAAAUCGGGCACACAUGCAAACACUAAGCAUAAUAUCUGGCCUAGAUGCACAUAAAUACAAUAAAGAACCAAUCAUGGAGCGGUAUACCUUUUGAUCGAAGUCAAUACCAUUUUCAUCAGUGCACAGAUGGCCAUUUGUGGGCAUCAGAAUUUUGACGCCUUUGCAAUCUUGCAUGCCGAAUUUCCUCAGUACAUCCUUGAGGUAUUUCUCCUCAGAUAUGAAUAUGCCAUUGCGCUGUUGACGAAUUUGAAGACCUAAGAAGAAUUUUGAUUCUCCCAUCAUAGACAUUUGAUAUUCUUCACUCAUCAUAUAGGAAAAUUCAUCACUAUAAUGUUGGUCAGUACAGCCAAAGAUAAUAUCAUCAACAUAUAUUUGGCACACAUACAAUUCACCAUCAUAAGAUUUAGUGAAAAGAGUAGGGUCGAGUGAACCGGGUUUGAAGCCUUUCUUCAUGAGGAAUUCCUUCAAAGUAUCAUACCAUGCCCGAGGGGCCUGCUUGAGGCCAUAGAGGGCCUUAUUGAGUCUGAAGACUUUGUCAGGAUGCUUUGGAUCUUCAAAACCUGGGGGUUGAGCAACAUAUACUUCUUCCUCAAGCUUACCAUUAAGGAAUGCACUUUUCACAUCCAUUUGAUAUAAAGUGAUAUCAUGAUGGUUAGCAUAAGCAAGUAAUAUGCAAAUAGCUUCAAGUCUAGCAACAGGUGCAAAAGUUUCAUCGAAAUCAAUUCCUUCAACCUGUGUGUAGCCUUGAGCUACAAGCCGUGCCUUAUUCCUCACCACAAGGACAUUUUCAUCUUGCUUGUUGCGGUAGAUCCACUUUGUGCCAAUGAUAUUGUGCUUGCGAGGAUCUGGACGUUUAACCAGUUCCCAGACGUUGUUGAGCUCGAAUUGAUGUAAUUCUUCUUGCAUGGCCUGAAUCCACUCAGGCUCCAGAAAUGCUUCAUCUACCUUAGUGGGCUCUGUGAUAGAGACAAAAGCAUAGUGCCCACAAAAGUUAGAUAAAUGUGAAGCUUUUGAGCGUGUGAGAGGACCUGGUGUGUCAUCGAUGAUCUUUUCAACUUGCACUUCUUUUGCAACACGAGGAUGAGCUGGUUGUCGUCGAGGAAUUUGAUAAGCAUUUUCUUCAGCACCAUUUUCUUCAGCAUUUUCUUCAGGUGCAUUAGCUCGACGUUCUUCACGUUCUGGAAUGAAUUCUUCAGCAGAUUCUUCGGUAGGAAUGACCUCUGUAGCCUUGAACUUGAUAGUUUCCUCAGGUGCUGGUUCAUCUAUCACAGAGGGUAGGUGCUCUCUUUGCGAGCCAUUAGUUUCAUCGAACCGCACAUCUACAGUUUCAACAACCUUGUGAAGAACGUUGUUGAAGACUCUGUAGGUGUGCGAGUCCUUUCCGUAACCAAGCAUAAAACCUUCAUGUGCUUUUGGUGCAAAUUUAGCAUUGUGAUGAGGAUCUCUAAUCCAACAUUUAGCACUGAAGACUUUGAAAUAACUCACAUUGGGUUUCUUGUCAGUGAGGAGUUCAUAGGCAGUCUUCUUGAAGAAUUUGUGAAGAUAUACCCUGUUGAUGAUGUGGCACGCAGUAUAAAUUGCCUCAAUCCAGAAGUGACGAGGCGUCUUGGACUCAUCAAGCAUAGUGCGAGCCAUCUCAAUAAGAGUUCUGUUCUUGCGCUCCACGACGCCAUUCUGCUGAGGAGUGUAAGGAGCAGAUAACUCAUGAGUAAUACCAAGUUCAUCAAGAUAGUCAUCAAGACCAGAAUUCUUGAACUCAGUUCCAUUGUCACUUCUGAUGUGCUUGAUUUUCACACCGAAGUUGGUUGAAGCCCUCGAGGAAAAUCGUUUGAAGACUUCCUGCACUUCAUGUUUGUAAGUGACAAUAUGUACCCAAGUGUAACGAGAGUGAUCAUCAACAAUAACAAAGCCAUAGAGAGAUGCAUCAUUUGUGACUGCUGAGUAAUGGUUAGGACCGAAGAGAUCCAUAUGAAGCAAUUCAAAUGGUCGAGUAGUGGUGAUGAUAGUCUUUGCUGGAUGCUUAGCCUUGGUCAUCUUUCCAGCUUCACAGGCUCCGCAUAAGUGAUCCUUGAGGAAUUUGACAUUCUCAAUGCCAAUGGCAUGCUUCUUCUUUGCAAGCGUGUGCAAAUUCCUCAUGUCUGCAUGACCAAGUCGUCGAUGCCAUAGCCAGCCUUCUGAAGCUUUUGCAAGUAGGCACACGGCUGGUUGCGGUCCUAUAGAUAAAUCAACAAUAUACAAGUCUCCUCUCCUAAAGCCUUCGAAGACUUUGGAAUUGUCAGCUUCCAUAACCACAACACAACGAUACUUGUCAAAGACAACAACCAUAUCAAGAUCACAAAGCAUUGAGACAUACAUGAGGUUGUAUCCUAAGGACUCGACAAGCAUGACUUUGUCCAUGUGUCGAUCCUUUGUGAUCGCAACCUUACCUAGACCCAAUACCUGACUUUUGCCUUUGUCAGCGAAGAUGAUAUGCUUCAGAUGCGAUGGUGAUAAGGGAGCAUCCAUCAAUAGAUUCUUGUCACCAGUCAUGUGAUUUGUACAUCCACUAUCGAGGACCCACUCAGUGGCUUUGGGUUGAUCAUCCUGUAGAUGAAUUAGUGCAGCUUACGAACUUCAUAUACUUCAUCAGUGAAGAAUAUGACAUCACAAUUCAUCAGGCCAAUUUCAUCAAGCAAUGCAACAGUUAAAACAGUAUGAGGACGUGAGAAAUGAAAGUUCAUUUCUUCAUGAUUAGCCUGCGUCCUUUCAGGCACUUUUCACGUCUCCAACAAAUUCUUCAGACGUUUGAGCACGUCUGGAGACCUGACCCUGCAUAAGAGAUUAGUCCUUUUUCUUCACCACCCACAUCUGAAGGGGUGGCAAAGAGUUCAUCACUCUGCGAGCUCCAUACGAGAAAGGUGGCAUAGAAGCCAAUCCAUUUCGUUUCACAUAAGAGGAGUUAGGGUAAGCAUAUGAAUAAGCAGAGAAAUUCUUCGAGGACUUAUGAACAUAAUGAUUAGAAGAAUAAUGCUCAUAUUCAUAGCCCUUAGCUCUUCCCUGCGAAACAGAGUUGUUAGCACGAUGAUGUUCAUAUGAGGACUUUGAUCCUUUUGAGGAAUAUGAUCCACGUGAGGAAUUCGAUCCGUAUGAGGACUUGGAUCCAAAUGAAGAAUUUGGUCCACAUGAAGAAUUUGAUCUGGGGUUCCUAUUCUUCACAGGUGGUGUCAUGAGGACAUUCACCUGAAGACUUUCAAGGCACCUUUUGGGAACCCAGAUUUUCUUCAUAGGAGAACCGUUCCUACAGUUAGUGCCAACAUAUCUAGCAAAUACUUCACCAUUCUGAUUUUUAAACAGUUUAUAGUUGGAGUCAAAUGACUCAUCAGAAGAAUGAGAAGAUUCACAUGUAAAGCCAGAUAAAUUAGAUGGAUCAACUGGAGGUCCCUUUGCAGCAACCCAUGAGGUUUUGGGGUACUGCUCAGGCUUCCAAUAUGUACCAUCAGCAUUGAGUUUCCUCUCAAAGGCAAUACCCUCUUUCCUAGGGUUCCUGUUGAGGAUCUGCUUUUUAAGCACAUCACAAAGAGUCUGAUGCCCUUUGAGGCUUUUGUACAUGCCUGUCAUGUACAAUUCCUUCAGCCCUGCAUCAUCAGUGAUACUAGCAAUGUCCUCAGAUGAGGAAUUAGUGAUAGCAGAGACAGUUGAAGAAUUUGUAGCAUUAGAAGCAUUUGAACAUUCAGGUGAAGAUUUAGCAGAUUCACGUUCAAUGCAUUUCAAACAUGGAGGAACAAAUUCUUCCUGAGCAGCGCUGAUUUGUUGAGCAAGUAAUGAAUCGCGCUCCUUCUGAAGAUCUUCAUAACUCACUCUUAGCUUCUCAAGAUCUUGCUUUCUUUGAAGAAAUUCAUAAGAAAGCUUCUCAUGAUCAGAUAAGAGAGUGUUAUGAUGACCUUGAAGGUUGUCAAAUCUAGACUGAAAUCUCUGAAGAUUUUCAGUCAAGGUUUUAGUGCGAUCCAUUUCUUCACCCAACAUAUCAUCACUUUUUAUCUAGCAUGUUUUGAAACUUUUCCAAGGCCUUUUGUUGUUUAGUGGCAAUACAAACAAGCUUGGUAUAGCUAGGUCCAAAAUCAUCAUCGGAUUCAUCAUCACUAGACUCGGAUGAGGAACAUUCGGUUACCUUGGCACCUUUUGCCAUGAGGCAUGGUGGAGAAGAUGAUAGUUCAGGUUCGAAAGUCAUCGUUUUGAGUGAUUCCUUGAAAUCCUCAAACCAGGGAUCAUGACAAGUUCGAUGACCUUCAUAGACGUCAGAGAUUCGGUCCCAGAUAAGCUUCACAUUGCAAAGAUGCAUAAUGCGCCUGAAUUCAUCUCUGGAUAGGCAGGAACAGAUGAUAUCCUUCGCCAUGAUGUCAAGUCGAGUGUACUUGCGAAUAUCAUCAGUGUCCGCCAUCUUGCAUAGAUCGGUAAGACCAAUCUCAGUGACGGUCCACAGCUCGCUGUUCAGUGCCAUGAGGCGCUUGCUCAUCAUGGCCUUCCACUUGGGAUAAUCAUGACCGUCAAAGAUGGGGCAUGUCACUUUCUUCAUACCUGCGGUCGACAUAACUAAAACUCCAGGCGGUUAAACCAAAAUCACACAGAACAAGGGAGUACCUUGCUAUGAUACCAAUUGAAAGUGCAUUAUAUCGAGUAGAGGGGGGGUGAAUAGGUGAUUUUUAUGAAUUCUUCACUGAGGAAUUUGCGGGUGAGGAAUUCCUUAGCGAAGAACUACUUGCAGCGGAAUAAGUACUCAAGAGUAAGCAUAGCAGAACAUAGGCAUGGUCAUCAUGAUGAAAUGAAGACAAACACAGAGUACAGAAAGCGUAAACACAGGAUAGCACAGGAUGAAGACAAACAGACUGAAGAAAUUGAACUGAGGAAAUUGAGAAAGUCUUCUGUCAAAGUCUUCAAACACAGAUAUGACAAGCACACAACACAGUAAUGAGGAAAUGAAAGAGUUGAGGAAAUAGAACCAGUAAGCUUGGUGAAGACAAUGAUUUGGUAGACCAGUUCCAACUACUGUCUCAGCUGUACAUCUGGUUGGAGCGGCUAGGUAUUUAAACCUGAGGACACACAGUCCCGGACACACAGUCCUCACUGUAUUCUCCUUGAACUAAGGUCACACAGACCUUGUCCAAUCACUCGUGGUAAGUCUUCAGGUGACUUCCGAACCUUCACAAACUCGGUCACUCGGCGAUCCACAAUUCCUCUUGGAUGCUCUAGACCAUGACGCCUAACCGUCUGGAAGAAGCACAGUCUUCAAAGAUAACAAGCGUCGGAUCCACGCAGGAUCAAUUUCUUCAGUGAUGCUCAAUCACUUUGGGUUUGUAGGUGUUUGGGUUUGGGUUUUCCUCACUUGAUGAUUUUCGCUCAAAGUCCUCGGAGGAUGGGAUGCUCUCAAAUGACAAAUGUCAGUUUCUCUCGGAGCAGCCAACCAGCUAGUGGUUGUACGGGGCGACUAUUUAUAGCCUAGGGAGCAGCCCGACAUGAUAAGACAUAAAUGCCCUUCAAUGAUAUGACCGUUAGGUGGGUAGAUAUUUUGGGACAGCUGGCGCAUAGCACAGCAAUGGUAGGAAAUUUCAGUAUCAAAUUCCUCAGGGCUAUCAUGUUCCUCACUGUGUAGGCAAUCCGCACUGGCGAAUUCCUAACUCCUCAGUCAGAACAAAUUCCUCAGAGACCAGAAGAACUUCGUCUCUGUAACUGAAGAAUAUGACUGAACUGUAUGAGAUUUCCAAUGGCUUCACUCGAAGGGAUUGGUAGGUGUAGGAUUUUGAGUUGAGCAUCAUAUGGAAAUUUUUCCUUAGUAUUUCCUCGACCCCCUUUAACAGUACGGUGUUUCCAAUGACUCAAGAAAGAGAAAAUGAAACUACGAAAACAAAAGUCUGCACGGUUCAUAUUCCUCAAAUGAAUACCAAGUCUUCAAGGUCACACCAAUUUCUUCACUUUCAAAGUCUUCAGAAAGUCUUCAGAAAUCCAUAGUCUCUAGUCGAAGAACUUCAUUUUUAGGGGUCGACUUUCUCUGUAAAUAUCAAACUCCUCAUAGACUUAUAGACCUGUGUACACUCAUAAACACAUUAAUCCCUUAACCUAUAAGUCUUCAAUACACCAAAAUCACUAAGGGGCACUAGAUGCACUUACAUCUAUCUUAGGGUAACGAGAGUCGAGGCGAACGUUGUCGCGAUAGCGACUACGGAAGCCCAGACGAGCACGCGACACCACUGCCACCCUGUCUUAGGGUAAUGCAAGUCGAGGCGGACGUCGUCGCAUUAGCGAUGCCGGGACACCGAGAUGAGCACGUGGCACCAAGGCCACCCUGUCUAUCUUACGGUAACGCGAGUCGAGGCGGACGUCGUCGUGGUAGCGACGACGGACGCCGCGACUAGCAUGUGACACCACUGCCACCCUUUCUAUCUGAGGGAAACGCGAGUCGACGUGGACGUCGUCGCGGUAGUGACAACGGACGCCGAGACGAGCACGUGACACCAUUGCCACCCUGUCUAUCUUAGGGUAACACUAGUCGAGGGGACGUCGCCGCGGUAGCGGCGACGGACGCCGAGACGAGCACGUGAUACCACUACCACCCUGUCUGUCUUAGGGUAAUGCGAGUCAAGGGGGACGUCGUUGCGGUAGCUACGACAGACGCCAAGACGAGCACGUGACACCACUGUCACCCUGUGUAUCUUAGGGUAACGCGGGUCGAGGCGGACAUCGUCGUGGUAGCGACGACGCAUGUCAAGACGAGCACGUGACACCAGUUCCACCCUGUCUUAGGGUAACGCAAGAGUCGAGGUGGAUGUCGUCGCGCUAGCGACGACGGACGCCGAGACGAGGACAUGAUGCCAGGACCACCCUGUCUAUAUUAGGGUAACGCGAGUCGAGGCAGACAUCGUCGCGGCAGUGACGACAGACGACGAGACGAGCACGUGACACCACAGCCAUCCUGUCUAUCUUAAGGUAACGCGAGUCGAGGCGGACGUCGUCGCGGUAGCGACGACGGACGCCGAGACCAGCACGUGACCCCACUACCAACAUGUCUAUAUUAGGGCAACGCGACUCGACACGGACGUCGUCUCGGUAGCGACGACGGACGCCGAGGCAAGCACGUGACACCACUGCCACCCUGCCUAUCUUAGGGUAACGCGAGUCGUGGCGGAUGUCGUCGUGGUAGCGACGACGGACACCGAGACUAGCACGUGACACCACUGCCACCCUGUCUUAGGGUAACGCGAGUCGAUGCGGAUGUCGUCGCGGUAGCAACGAUGGACGCCUAGACGAGCAUGUGACACCACUGCCACCCUCUCUUAGGGUAACGCGAGUAGAGGCGGAGGUCGUCGCGGAAGCAGCGACGGACGCGGAGGCGAGAACGUGACACCACUGCCACCCUGUCUUAGCGGAACGCGAGUCGAGGCGAACGUCGUCGCGAUAGCGACGACAGACGCCAAGACGAGCACGUGACACCACUGCCACCCUGUCUUAGGGUAACACGAGUCGAGGCGGACGUCGUCGCGUUAGCAACGAAGGACGCCGUGACGAGCACGUGACACCAGGGCCACCCUGUCUAUCUUAGGGUAACGGGAGUCGAUGCAGAAGUCGUCGCCGUAGCGAUGACGGACGCUGAGACGAGCACGUGACACCACUACCACCCUAUCUAUCAUCGGGUAACGCGAGUCGAGGCAAACGUCGUCGCGGUAGCGACGACAGACGCCAAGACGAGCACUUGACACCCUGGCCACCCUGUCUAUCUUAGUGUAACGCGAGUCGAGGCGAACGUCAUCGCAGUAGCGAGGACGGACGCCGAGACGAGCACGUGACACUACUGCCACCCUCUCUUAAAAGUCGAGGCGGACGUCGUCUAGCUUGUCACGUCAAAUUGACACAAAAAAUGUUCAUUUAAAAAAAAAUAUCAGAUAUUUCGGAAAAUGUUCUUGUUUUUAAGGAAAUUUCAGGAAUUCAAAAGUUGUUUAGUUCUAUAAAUAUGUUCUUGAUUUGAAUUUUUCUCAUUAAUUUUAAAAUAUGUUCAUAGUAGAUCAAUUUAAUGAACAUUUCGAUUCAACCAAAAAGAUGUAGAUCAAUUUAAUUCAGCAUGUUAAUUUUUGUUUAAUAAAAUUAUGUUCAUGGAAAGUAUUAAUCGAAAGGGAAUAGAGGAAUAGGCGAAUUUAUUUUUUUUCUGUGUAAAAGUAGCUAUUCAUUUUAGUUGAAAGUGCUAGUUCAUUUCAAUUAAAAGUGGGAUUUCCGGCCCAUUAGUGUCCGUGAAAAACUGCUGGCCCAGAAAGGGAAUAGGAAAACACAGGCCCAAAAGGAAAAAACGUGGAAAGGGAAUAGAGGCUAGGUGAGGUAUUGGGCCAAGGCUGGGCCGAACUCACAAAAAGUGGAGCUCUCAAGGCCGGAAUUGAUCACGAAAGGGAAUAGAAUGGGCGCAACCGUUCGCUAACUUUGUCGUUUGUUGUCGCAUCGAUCUGGUGCGAAAUGAGAGCUCCUAUGUGUCGCAUUUUACGGCAAAUUGCCACCAUAUCGCACAGGGGCGCCACCGAGUGGGCCGGCCCAUUAGCAGCACUGCAGCGAGCCAAUAAACGCACUGUAGCUAAAAACUGAGCGGCAUCGACCUCGCGACCUCUGGCUAUUGAAUGACUCUCGCUAGCCACUUGAGCUGAUGGCCCGUUGGUUAUUGUUAUACACCGCGAAAUACUAAAAGCACUACUCGGAGGAGCUGAUCAAACUUGUACUGUAGCGACCGGACUGUGUACUGUUACGACAUGAACAAGGCAAGGUAGAGUUUUUUUUAGAAGCUCCAAAUCUUUCUUUGAAAAACGUGAACAUUUUUUCAAAACACAAAUAAAACUUCAAAUUUCAAACAUUUUUCAAAACAGAUAAAAAAAGUAGAAACCACAAAAGUAUUUUGAAUUUGUGAACAUUUCUCCGAGAAAGGGAACAUUUUUUAAAUUCCGAACAAAUUUUGAAAGCCUGAACAUUAUUUGAAACUCCCCGAACAAUUUUUGAAUUUGUGAACAAAUUUUGAAAACGAGAACAUUUUUUGAAAUUGUGAACAAAAUUUUGAAACCACAAACAUUUUUUGAAAUUGGAAGCAAUUUUAGAAUUUGUGACUUUUUUUCAAAAUGAGAACUUUUUUGAAAUUCUGAAUUAUAUUUCAAAUUUUCAAAAAAGUUUCAAUAGAAAAAUAAACUUAAAAAAGAAAAAGAGAAAAAUGAAAAAGAAAACAAAACAAUAUUCAAAAAUUCAUGAACGUUGUUUUGAAAAUAUUUAGAAAAGAAGCGAACAAUUUUUGAAAUUUCUGAACAAAAUUUGAAAACAGGAACAUUUAAAAAAAAUAAGGAUCAUGUUUUGAAAUUCCCAAACAAUUUUGAAAUGCAAACAUUUUUUGAAUGUAGAAACAAAAUUUGAAAACAGGAACAUUUUCCAAAAUUUGAACUUUGUUUAGGAACCUGAAUAUUUCUAGAAAAAGAAAAAUGAAAUUGAAUAAAAAGGAAACGGAAAAAGAAAAAAAGAAAAAGAAAAACCUGACCACAAAGAAAUAGAAAAACGAAAAGAAAAGAAAAAACCGUAGAAAAGAAAAAAACCCGGUUCAGGAAACCUUCUGGAAGGUUCCCAAAGACGGAUUGGGUAGUGCCAAUACGAUCUACUCAAAUGGGCCGGCCCCGUCGUGUCGAUCGGCCGAUCGCCUGUGCGUUGCCCCGGCAACUUGCCGCAACGAGCGACAAACAGGAAAUUCCGUGCGAAAAAUCGAGUGCGCCUCUUAGGACGCGCGCUAGCGACGCCGCAUUGGAGUUCUCUCUAUACGUAUACUUGCUAGCGUUGAUCAAGCACGGAAAUAAGCGAGCUCACUUCUCUCUAUUAGCUAGCUAACACAAUAUAUGAAACCCCCUCUCCCUUCUUUCAAAACAAAAACAAAACCCCUGCUCCUGCCAGCUGCUGACGCGUGGAUGCCUUUUGGUACCGGUUGGUGUUACCAACCGGGACAAAAGGUGCUCCAGCCUAGGCACCUCGCAGCGGCCACGUGGAGCCCCUUGCGAAUCGGGACUAAAGGUUUUGGGCUUUAGUCCCAACCCUUUAGUCCCGGUUCCAGAACCGGGGUAAGGGGCCUCUGAAACCGGGACAAAUGGGCCGGUUUCUAUGAGUCGAAGCUCCAUCCUCCUUUCUAGUCCUCUGUUCCUUUUGUCAUAUCAGCUUUCAUCCAUCUCCCAUACUGUUGCACCUCACCUCUCCCAAGUCCAAUAGAACACGCCUUGUCCACGUGUCCAAUUAUACCACACGUGUAACAAAAAUCAGGGAGGUACUCAUACUCUAGGGGGCACCAUUUUUGCUCAUCAUCUUUCUUCUUUCUUUUAUCCACGUCCAUCACUUCUGCAGACUCCUUGUCUUCUCCCGUUCAAUAUCCAAAGUGAUUCCUCUCAACAGUGGCUUUGUAAUGUCUAGUCUAACUUUCAGAACUUCCAGCCACAUUAUCAUCAUCCCCCUGGUUACCUCCAUGAACUCGCCAGUCUCGUCACCAAUGAUACCUCCGUUUUCAUCACUCAUGAAACCGAGCGGCAUCUUGGUCACCCUGACCCAAAUAAGGAUGAUAGUGAACUCAUACUCUCCUAGCGUUUUAGCUGGGUCGAAAUCUACCAUCACAAUCAGGUCCUUUCCCACCAUCCAUGGCCCUUCCUCCAAUGCUUUCCUCUUCCCCGCUGCUUGCAAGAAGGUGAAAAGAAAGGUGUUGUCCUCUAACCCCUUGCACUUGAUUCCCUUGAUCGGACACCACACUCUUCCGAGGUAUUUGAUCAUACCUUCCACAUAUACUGGUUUCUCGGACAUAACCUUACCGAUCGCCUGUGGAUCUUCCGUUCCCGUUCUCCUCAACCCGCCUCUUCCGAUCUUGACUCCCUUCUUCUCUGCUUCUGGCAACCGCAACUUCUGCAUCAAACCUUCCACUUUCUCCAUUGUGUCGAGGACUUGCAUCGAUCUAUGGUUUACUAGGUGGUUGUAUUAUGAAUGAAUGCCCUAGCAACACUCGUAAGGCUUUUGGUGGAUGGGUGAGCGGUCUCGAGAUCAAUCCAGCAAGGAUCGCCAAGGCUAGGGGGAGAGUUUGCUGGCGUAGGCCAGAGACGGGGUCGCCUGAGGGGACUCUAGGGUUUACCAGGAGUCACCGCAGAAUCCCCUGGGAAUCGCCCAAGCGCCAAUCGUGGAACCGUCACCCAAGGACGGACGGGUUAAGGAUGAUAAUUAAAGCGGACUUUGAUAGAGAGACACGUGAGAAAUAGAGUGAUAGAGAGAGAUACGUGAAAAUUAAAGCGGUUUUAAUUUCUUUCUUUUCUGUAAUUAAAGAGAUACGCAUGAGAAAUAGAGAGAUAAGAGAGAUACGUGAGAAUUAAAGCUGUUUUAAUUUUUUCCGUUUCUAUAAUUAAAGAUCUGAUCUACACAGUUAUAAUCUUGACCCGCAAAAUCAACGGCCUCCAUUUUCUAUUUUUCUCUAAUUAAUGUGGGAAUUUCUUGGGAGUGCCUAUUAGUAUAGGUAUAUAUAUGUGCAAAAAAUCUCGACAUUAAUGAACAUAUAUCUGGUGCACUUGCAAUCUUUUGUAGUACAUUAAUGAAUAUUUAAAGUAUUUUCCAACUCUUGCUAUUUAUAGACUUGUCAUCCGUGUCUGCCACAUUUGGAGUCCAACUAUUUCCUACUGGAACCUUACACUCCACUAGAACUGAGUUUGUCAAGUAACAGAUAACCAAUAUGAGAGGGAGCAGCCUAGUGCAGGGGACGAUGAUAUUCUUCAUUGGAUGCCUUGUGCUUUGUGCACAGUGUAAGUAUAUAUCAUCAUCGUCUUUAGAAUCUUGUGUUAACUUCUUGCCACUAAUUCUUCGGAUCAGACAUACAUACACACACACAUCUGCGGUACUGCAUACUAAGGUUAAAUAUACUAUACAGGUGCUCUCGAUAAUAAGCAAAGGAUGGUCAACCAAGAUGAUCAUGCGGCGAACACAAGUACCAACGCUACCAUCAUCAACUCAACAUCUGUAGGCGAGAGCAAGAAAACCGAGAAAUUUUGCAGCCUCUUUCUCGUAUGUUAUUUCAACAUUGAGAUUCGUGCUGAGUGCUACUGUUGCGAGAAUAAGAAUGCCGACUGUUACAAGACGAAGAGUGAGUGCCUGCAGAAGUGCCAUUCCUACAACGGUUAAUGCCCACCUUCAUCGCGGUCUCUGGGAUAGAAUUCCAUAUGCUCGGAAAAUUUGUCCGUAGGUAAUAAAAGGCACCUUAUAUGGUUUGGGCAAUUAGGUCCCAAUUAAACAUUAGAUAGCCGGCAUGUUUCCGUGGAGAUCCAACAAGGAAAAAUUUGAUGAAAGAAAUCCGAGUAACUAGUUGUCUUGCAUAUUUACAAAGUUCAAAUCCUUUGGUUGUUGUGCUUUGACUCGAUUGUCUAUUAUGCCAUUUCAUUUACUUGCACAUUGCCCACUUGUUCAUUUAACACACAUCACCCACUUGGUGAUUUGCCAGUUGUGGGCUGACAGCCAUAUAGAUUUAUUUUUUUGAGAUCUCGUCAUAUAGAAUUGUAAUAGCACUGACAUGGAAAAGGUUAAAAACUGAAAAACUGAAAAAAGUAAAUCAAACAAACAAAUGGUGUGCAAACUAAAUCAGACGGCACAAGACAAGUGAGAUUUAGUCAGGACUCUUUCAGAUGAAGAUAAGCAAAUUGCAAGAAAACAACAUGCAGAAACAAUUUUAUAUCAUAGCAUAACAUGCAAAAAAGCACAUAUAUAGUACAACGACAACCCACGUGUCUAUAUGCUAUCUAUAUGUAUAUCUAUCUAUCUAUAUCUAUCUAUCUAUCUAUCUAUCUAUCCUUACUAAUAAAAGACGGAUCAUUUAUGCCCAUCCGUCUCAUGUUUUGCAACAAAAUACCCUACUUUUUUCUUUAAUUAACCCGCGGUCAAGGUUUAGGUGAGGUUCGUCCGUUGUUUUUUUUGCAAAGAACGAGGAAACGGUUGCGUUUUGUGAGAUUCAAACUCAUGAUGUCCCCUCCAUGCCCAAAAGCCACAGCCAACUGAGUUAGCAUGCACUUGUGCUACCAAAUAGGUCCAUUAUUUCAUUAAAUUGUCCAUCCUUGAUUCUUUGCAUGAGAAUACACAAAUUUAUAUGUGAUUGCAAAUUGCCUGGAAAUCAACAAGCCAACUCGAUAACCAAGAAAUAGAGGGAGAGGAGGAAUUCACUCAAUAAAUAGUGUUAACUAGCAGGGUUUCCCGCGCAUUUGUGCGGCUAGCUGACCCUUUCCGAUGCCAACUAUAUGGCCUUUCACUAAACUAUAUUUUGAUUAAAUUUACACCUUGUAUAUGUCAUCAUAGAAAAAAUGAAAAUCGUAAUGAAACAUGCAAGUGCAUCAGGUUGUUCAUUUUAAUAUAGAAGUGCAUUAGGUUUUUAAAUAAAUUCCUUGGCAUGUCAGGUUGCAACACAGAUAAAAAACCAUGUAUGGGAUUUCAUGCCAAUCUUGGUGUUUUUCCUGUGUGAUCACUCCUCCUUUGUAUCAUUUAAUAGGUUUUCAAGAAAUUCCCUACCAAGACUUAAAUCUAAACAUGAAAUUCUGGUAUGUAAAGGUCCCUUCUUCUAGUCAUACCAAUCAACGGACGCAUUCUUAACUACCUUUUCUUGAUUAAUGCCGCCUACCCACUUAUGUAUCAAGAGAUUCACAUCUUCUAUCGUGCUUAUUUUUUCUAUUGAUAAUAUUUUACAAAAUAUUAUCUUUGACUCACUCCCUUUUAAUUUCUGAAGACUUUGAAAGUGAAGAAAUUGGUGUGACCUUGAAGACUUGGUAUUCAUUCGAGGAACAUGAAGCGUGAAGACUUUUGUUUUAGUAGUUUCAUUUUCUCUUUCUUGAGUCAUAGGAAACACUGUACUGUUAAAGGGGGUCGAGUAAAUACUAAGGAAAAAUUUCCAAGUGAUGCUCAACUUAAAAUCCUACACCUACCAAUCCCUUCGAGUGAAGCCAUUGGAAAUCUCAUGCAGUUCAGUCAGUUUCUUCAGUGACAGAGACGAAGUACUUCUGGUCUCUGAGGAAUUUGUUCUGCCUAAGGAGUUAGGAAUUCGCCAGUGCGGAUUGCCUACAAGUGAGGAACAUGAUAGCCCUGAGGAAUUAGACACUCGAAAUUCCGACCGUUGCUGUGCUAUGCGCCAGCUGUCCCAAAAUAUCUUACCCACCUAACGGUCAUAUCAUUGAAGGGCAUUUAUGUCUUAUCAUGUAGGGCUGCUCCCUAGGCUAUAAAUAGCCGCCCCCUACAACGACUAUCUGGUUGGCUGCUCCGAGAGAAACCGACACUUGUCAUUUGAGAACAUCCCAUCCUCCGAGGACUUUAAGCGAAAAUCAUCAAGUGAGGAAAACCCAAACCCAAACACCUAAAAACCCAAAGUGAUUGAGCAUCACUAAAGAGAUUGAUCCUGCGUGGAUCCGACACUUGUUACCUUUGAAGAAUGUGCAUCUUCCAGAUGGUUAGGCGUCAUGGUCUAGAGCAUCCAAGAGGAAAUUGUUGAUCGCCGAGUGACCGAGUUUGUGAAGGUUUGGAAGUCACCUGAAGACUUACCACGAGUGAUUGGGCGAGGCUGUGUGACCGUAGCGAUGACGGACGCUGAGACGAGCACGUGACACCACUACCACCCUAUCUAUCAUCGGGUAACGCGAGUCGAGGCAAACGUCGUCGCGGUAGCGACGACAGACGCCAAGACGAGCACUUGACACCCUGGCCACCCUGUCUAUCUUAGUGUAACGCGAGUCGAGGCGAACGUCAUCGCAGUAGCGAGGACGAACGACGAGACGAGCACGUGACACUACUACCACCCUCUCUUAAAAGUCGAGGCGGACGUCGUCUAGCUUGUCACGUCAAAUUGACACAAAAAAUGUUCAUUUAAAAAAAAUAUCAGAUAUUUCGGAAAAUGUUCUUGUUUUAAAGGAAAUUUCAGGAAUUCAAAAGUUGUUUAGUUCUAUAAAUAUGUUCUUGAUUUGAAUUUUUCUCAUUAAUUUUAAAACAUGUUCAUAGUAGAUCAAUUUAAUGAACAUUUCGAUUCAACCAAAAAGAUGUAGAUCAAUUUAAUUCAGCAUGUUAAUUUUUGUUUAAUAAAAUUAUGUUCAUGGAAAGUAUUAAUCGAAAGGGAAUAGAGGAAUAGGCGAAUUUAUUUUUUUCUGUGUAAAAGUAGCUAUUCAUUUUAGUUGAAAGUGCUAGUUCAUUUCAAUUAAAAGUGGGAUUUCCGGCCCAUUAGUGUCCGUGAAAAACCGCUGGCCCAGAAAGGGAAUAGGAAAACACAGGCCCAAAAGGAAAAAACGUGGAAAGGGAAUAGAGGCUAGGUGAGGUAUUGGGCCAAGGCUGGGCCGAACUCACAAAAAGUGGAGCUCUCAAGGCCGGAAUUGAUCACGAAAGGGAAUAGAAUGGGCGCAACCGUUCGCUAACUUUGUGGUUUGCUGUCGCAUCGAUCUGGUGCGAAAUGAGAGCUCCUAUGUGUCGCAUUUUACGGCAAAUUGCCACCAUAUCGCACAGGGGCGCCACCGAGUGGGCCGGCCCAUUAGCAGCACUGCAGCGAGCCAAUAAACGCACUGUAGCUAAAAACUGAGCGCCCCCGUGGAGGCAUCGACCUCGCGACCUCUGGCUAUUGAAUGACUCUCGCUAGCCACUUGAGCUGAUGGCCCGUUGGUUAUUGUUAUACACCGCGAAAUACUAAAAGCACUACUCGGAGGAGCUGAUCAAACAUGUACUGUAGCGACCGGACUGUGUACUGUUACGACAUGAACAAGGCAAGGUAGAGUUUUUUUUAGAAGCUCCAAAUCUUUCUUUGAAAAACGUGAACAUUUUUUAAAAACACAAAUAAAAAUUCAAAUUUCAAACAUUUUUCAAAACAGAUAAAAAAAGUAGAAACCACAAAAGUAUUUUGAAUUUGUGAACAUUUCUCCGAGAAAGGGAACAUUUUUUAAAUUCCGAACAAAUUUUGAAAGCCUGAACAUUAUUUGAAACUCCCCGAACAAUUUUUGAAUUUGUGAACAAAUUUUGAAAACGAGAACAUUUUUUGAAAUUGUGAACAAAAUUUUGAAACCACAAACAUUUUUUGAAAUUGGAAGCAAUUUUGGAAUUUGUGACUUUUUUUCAAAAUGAGAACUUUUUUGAAAUUCUGAAUUAUAUUUGAAAUUUUCAAAAAAGUUCGAAUAGAAAAAUAAACUUAAAAAAGAAAAAGAGAAAAAUGAAAAAGAAAACAAAACAAUAUUCAAAAAUUCAUGAACGUUGUUUUGAAAAUAUUUAGAAAAGAAGCGAACAAUUUUUGAAAUUUCUGAACAAAAUUUGAAAACAGGAACAUUUAAAAAAAAUAAGGAUCAUGUUUUGAAAUUCCCAAACAAUUUUAAAAUGCAAACAUUUUUUGAAUGUAGAAACAAAAUUUGAAAACAGGAACAUUUUCCAAAAUUUGAACUUUGUUUAGGAACCUGAAUAUUUCUAGAAAAAGAAAAAUGAAAUUGAAUAAAAAGGAAACGGAAAAAGAAAAACCUGACCACAAAGAAAUAGAAAAACGAAAAGAAAAGAAAAAACCGUAUAAAAGAAAAAAAAACCCGGUUCAGGAAACCUUCUGGAAGGUUCCCAAAGCCGGAUGGGGUAGUGCCAAUACGAUCUACUCAAAUGGGCCGGCCUAGUCGUGUCGAUCGGCCGAUCGCCUGUGCGUUGCCCCGGCAACUUGCCGCAACGAGCGACAAACAAGAAAUUCCGUGCGAAAAAUCAAGUGCGCCUCUUAGGACGCGCGCUAGCGACGCCGCAUUGGAGUUCUCUCUAUACGUAUACUUGCUAGCGUUGAUCAAGCACGGAAAUAAGCGAGCUCACUUCUCUCUAUUAGCUAGCUAACACAAUAUAUGAAACCCCCUCUCCCUUCUUUCAAAAAAAAACAAAACCCCUGCUCCUGCCAGCUGCUGACGCGUGGAUGCCUUUUGGUACCGGUUGGUGUUACCAACCGGGACAAAAGGUGCUCCAGCCUAGGCACCUCGCAGCGGCCACGUGGAGCCCGUUGCGAAUCGGGACUAAAGGUUUUGGGCUUUAGUCCCAACCCUUUAGUCCCGGUUCCAGAACCGGGGCUAAGGGGCCUCUGAAACCGGGACAAAUGGGCCGGUUUCUAUGAGUCGAAGCUCCAUCCUCCUUUCUGGUCCUCUGUUCCUUUUCUCAUAUCAGCUUUCAUCCAUCUCCCAUACUGUUGCACCUCACCUCUCCCAAGUCCAAUAGAACACGCCUUGUUCACGUGUCCAAUUAUACCACACGUGUAACAAAAAUCAGGGAGGUACUCAUACUCUAGGGGGCACCAUUUUUGCUCAUCAUCUUUCUUCUUUCUUUUAUCCACGUCCAUCACUUCUGCAGACUCAUUGUCUUCUCCCGUUCAAUAUCCAAAGUGAUUCCUCUCAACAGUGGCUUUGUAAUGUCUAGUCUAACUUUCAGAACUUCCAGCCACAUUAUCAUCAUCCCCCUGGUUACCUCCAUGAACUCGCCAGUCUCGUCACCAAUGAUACCUCCGUUUUCAUCACUCAUGAAACCGAGCGGCAUCUUGGUCACCCUGACCCAAAUAAGGAUGAUAGUGAACUCAUACUCUCCUAGCGUUUUAGCUGGGUCGAAAUCUACCAUCACAAUCAGGUCCUUGCCCACCAUCCAUGGCCCUUCCUCCAAUGCUUUCCUCUUCCCCGCUGCUUGCAAGAAGGUGAAAAGAAAGGUGUUGUCCUCUAACCCCUUGCACUUGAUUCCCUUGAUCGGACACCACACUCUUCCGAGGGAUUUGAUCAUACCUUCCAUAUAUACUGGUUUCUCGGACAUAACCUUACCGAUCGCCUGUGGAUCUUCCGUUCCCGUUCUCCUCAACCCGCCUCUUCCGAUCUUGACUCCCUUCUUCUCUGCUUCUGGCAACCGCAACUUCUGCAUCAAACCUUCCACUUUCUCCAUUGUGUCGAGGACUUGCAUCGAUCUAUGGUUUACUAGGUGGUUGUAUUAUGAAUGAAUGCCCUAGCAACACUCGUAAGGCUUUUGGUGGAUGGGUGAGCGGUCUCGAGAUCAAUCCAGCAAGGAUCGCCGAGGCUAGGGGGAGAGUUUGCUGGCGUAGGCCAGAGACGGGGUCGCCUGAGGGGACUCUAGGGUUUACCAGGAGUCACCGCAGAAUCCCCUGGGAAUCGCCCAAGCGCCAAUCGUGGAACCGUCACCCAAGGACGGACGGGUUAAGGAUGAUAAUUAAAGCGGACUUUGAUAGAGAGACACGUGAGAAAUAGAGUGAUAGAGAGAGAUACGUGAAAAUUAAAGCGGUUUUAAUUUCUUUCUUUUCUGUAAUUAAAGAGAUACGCAUGAGAAAUAGAGAGAUAAGAGAGAUACGUGAGAAUUAAAGCUGUUUUAAUUUUUUCCGUUUCUAUAAUUAAAGAUCUGAUCUACACAGUUAUAAUCUUGACCCGCAAAAUCAACGGCCUCCAUUUUCUAUUUUUCUCUAAUUAAUGUGGGAAUUUCUUGGGAGUGCCUAUUAGUAUAGGUAUAUAUAUGUGCAAAAAAUCUCGACAUUAAUGAACAUAUAUCUGGUGCACUUGCAAUCUUUUGUAGUACAUUAAUGAAUAUUUAAAGUAUUUUCCAACUCUUGCUAUUUAUAGACUUGUCAUCCGUGUCUGCCACAUUUGGAGUCCAACUAUUUCCUACUGGAACCUUACACUCCACUAGAACUGAGUUUGUCAAGUAACAGAUAACCAAUAUGAGAGGGAGCAGCCUAGUGCAGGGGACGAUGAUAUUCUUCAUUGGAUGCCUUGUGCUUUGUGCACAGUGUAAGUAUAUAUCAUCAUCGUCUUUAGAAUCUUGUGUUAACUUCUUGCCACUAAUUCUUCGGAUCAGACAUACAUACACACACACAUCUGCGGUACUGCAUACUAAGGUUAAAUAUACUAUACAGGUGCUCUCGAUAAUAAGCAAAGGAUGGUCAACCAAGAUGAUCAUGCGGCGAACACAAGUACCAACGCUACCAUCAUCAACUCAACAUCUGUAGGCGAGAGCAAGAAAACCGAGAAAUUUUGCAGCCUCUUUCUCGUAUGUUAUUUCAACAUUGAGAUUCGUGCUGAGUGCUACUGUUGCGAGAAUAAGAAUGCCGACUGUUACAAGACGAAGAGUGAGUGCCUGCAGAAGUGCCAUUCCUACAACGGUUAAUGCCCACCUUCAUCGCGGUCUCUGGGAUAGAAUUCCAUAUGCUCGGAAAAUUUGUCCGUAGGUAAUAAAAGGCACCUUAUAUGGUUUGGGCAAUUAGGUCCCAAUUAAACAUUAGAUAGCCGGCAUGUUUCCGUGGAGAUCCAACAAGGAAAAAUUUGAUGAAAGAAAUCCGAGUAACUAGUUGUCUUGCAUAUUUACAAAGUUCAAAUCCUUUGGCUGUUGUGCUUUGACUCGAUUGUCUAUUAUGCCAUUUCAUUUACUUGCACAUUGCCCACUUGUUCAUUUAACACACAUCACCCACUUGGUGAUUUGCCAGUUGUGGGCUGACAGCCAUAUAGAUUUAUUUUUUUGAGAUCUCGUCAUAUAGAAUUGUAAUAGCACUGACAUGGAAAAGGUUAAAAACUGAAAAACUGAAAAAAGUAAAUCAAACAAACAAAUGGUGUGCAAACUAAAUCAGACGGCACAAGACAAGUGAGAUUUAGUCAGGACUCUUUCAGAUGAAGAUAAGCAAAUUGCAAGAAAACAACAUGCAGAAACAAUUUUAUAUCAUAGCAUAACAUGCAAAAAAGCACAUAUAUAGUACAACGACAACCCACGUGUCUAUAUGCUAUCUAUAUGUAUAUUUAUCUAUCUAUAUCUAUCUAUCUAUCUAUCUAUCUAUCCUUACUAAUAAAAGACGGAUCAUUUAUGCCCAUCCGUCUCAUGUUUUGCAACAAAAUACCCUACUUUUUUCUUUAAUUAACCCGCGGUCAAGGUUUAGGUGAGGUUCGUCCGUUGUGUUUUUUGCAAAGAACGAGGAAACGGUUGCGUUUUGUGAGAUUCAAACUCAUGAUGUCCCCUCCAUGCCCAAAAGCCACAGCCAACUGAGUUAGCAUGCACUUGUGCUACCAAAUAGGUCCAUUAUUUCAUUAAAUUGUCCAACCUUGAUUCUUUGCAUGAGAAUACACAAAUUUAUAUGUGAUUGCAAAUUGCCUGGAAAUCAACAAGCCAACUCGAUAACCAAGAAAUAGAGGGAGAGGAGGAAUUCACUCAAUAAAUAGUGUUAACUAGCCGGGUUUCCCGCGCAUUUGUGCGGCUAGCUGACCCUUUCCGAUGCCAACUAUAUGGCCUUUCACUAAACUAUAUUUUGAUUAAAUUUACACCUUGUAUAUGUCAUCAUAGAAAAAAUGAAAAUCGUAAUGAAACAUGCAAGUGCAUCAGGUUGUUCAUUUUAAUAUAGAAGUGCAUUAGGUUUUUAAAUAAAUUCCUUGGCAUGUCAGGUUGCAACACAGAUAAAAAACCAUGUAUGGGAUUUCAUGCCAAUCUUGGUGUUUUUCCUGUGUGAUCACUCCUCCUUUGUAUCAUUUAAUAGGUUUUCGAGAAAUUCCCUACCAAGACUUAAAUCAAAACAUGAAAUUCUGGUAUGUAAAGGUCCCUUCUUCUAGUCAUACCAAUCAACGGACGCAUUCUUAACUACCUUUUCUUGAUUAAUGCCGCCUACCCACUUAUGUAUCAAGAGAUUCACAUCUUCUAUCGUGCUUAUUUUUUCUAUUGAUAAUAUUUUACAAAAUAUUAUCUUUGACUCACUCCCUUUUAAUUUCUGAAGACUUUGAAAGUGAAGAAAUUGGUGUGACCUUGAAGACUUGGUAUUCAUUCGAGGAACAUGAAGCGUGAAGACUUUUGUUUUAGUAGUUUCAUUUUCUCUUUCUUGAGUCAUAGGAAACACUGUACUGUUAAAGGGGGUCGAGUAAAUACUAAGGAAAAAUUUCCAAGUGAUGCUCAACUUAAAAUCCUACACCUACCAAUCCCUUCGAGUGAAGCCAUUGGAAAUCUCAUGCAGUUCAGUCAGUUUCUUCAGUGACAGAGACGAAGUACUUCUGGUCUCUGAGGAAUUUGUUCUGACUGAGGAGUUAGGAAUUCGCCAGUGCGGAUUGCCUACAAGUGAGGAACAUGAUAGCCCUGAGGAAUUAGACACUCAAAAUUCCGACCGUUGCUGUGCUAUGCGCCAGCUGUCCCAAAAUAUCUUACCCACCUAACGGUCAUAUCAUUGAAGGGCAUUUAUGUCUUAUCAUGUAGGGCUGCUGCCUAGGCUAUAAAUAGCCGCCCCCUACAACCACUAUCUGGUUGGCUGCUCCGAGAGAAACCGACACUUGUCAUUUGAGAGCAUCCCAUCCUCCGAGGACUUUAAGCGAAAAUCAUCAAGUGAGGAAAACCCAAACCCAAACACCUAAAAACCCGAAGUGAUUGAGCAUCACUAAAGAGAUUGAUCCUGCGUGGAUCCGACACUUGUUACCUCUGAAGAAUGUGCAUCUUCCAGACGGUUAGGCGUCAUGGUCUAGAGCAUCCAAGAGGAAAUUGUUGAUCGCCGAGUGACCGAGUUUGUGAAGGUUUGGAAUUCACCUGAAGACUUACCACGAGUGAUUGGGCGAGGCUGUGUGACCGUAGCUCAAGGAGAAUACGGUGAGGACUGUGUGUCCGGGACUAUGUGUCCUCAGGUUUAAAUACCUAGCCGCUCCAACCAGACGUACAACUGUCAUAGCAGUUGGAACUGGUCUACCAAAUCAUUGUCUUCACCAACCCUACUGGUUCUAUUUCCUCAACUCUUUCAUUUCCUCAUUACUGUGUUGUGUGCUUGUUCAUAUCUUUUUGAAGACUUUGACUGAAGACUUUCUCAAUUUCCUCAGUUUAAUUUCUUCAGUCUGUUUUGUCUUCAUCAUGUUUUAUCCUAUGCUUACGCUUCCUGUACUCUGUGUCUGUUUUCGUUUCAUCAUGAUGACCAUGUUUAUGUUAUGUCAUGUAUGGAUCUGAGUACUUAUUCCGCUGAAGUAGUUCUUCGCUAAGGAAUUUCCUCACCCUGAAAUUCCUCAGUGAAGAAUUCAUAAAAAUCGCCUAUUCACGCCCCCUCUAGUUGACUUAACGAACUUUCAUCGUCACAUUAGCAACGCCGCACGCCGAGACGAGCACGUGACACCAAGGCCACCCUAUCUAUCUUACGGUAACGCGAGUCGAGGCGAAUGUCGCCGCGGUAGCGACGACGGACGCCGAGACGAGUACGUGACACCACUGCCACCCUGUCUAUCUUAGGGCAACGCGACUAGACGCGGACGUUGUCGCGGUAGCGAUGAAGGACGCCGAGACGAGCACGUGACACCAUUGCCCCAGUCUAUCUUAGGGUAACGCGAGUCGAGGCGGAUGUCGUCGCGGUAGCGGCGAUGGACGCCGAGACGAGCACGUGACACCACUGCCACCCUGUCUAUCUUAGGGUAAUGCGAGUCGAGGGGGAUGUCGUUGUGGUAGCGACGACGGACGCCAAGACGAGCAUGUGACACCACUGCCACCCUGUGUAUCUUAGGGUAACGCGGGUCGAGGCGGACAUCGUCGCGGUAGCGGCAACGCACACUGAGACGAGCACAUGACACCACUGCCACCCUGUCUUAGGGUAACGCAAGUGUCGAGGCGGACGUCGUCGCGGUAGCGACGACGAACGCCAAGACGAGGACAUGACGCUAGGGCCACCUUGUCUAUCUUAGGGUAACGCGAGUCGAGGCGGACGUCGUCGCGGUAGCGACGACGGACGACGAGACGAGCACGUGACACCACUGCCACCCUGUCUAUCUUAGGGCAACGCGACUCGACUGCCAUGUGAUAUAGGUCAGAACUUUUCUGAAUACUUAGUGUCGCCAUGUGAUCCAGACGAAUAAUUAAGAAAGUAUAUAAUUUUACAACCAUGGAUACGCGAGUCGAGGCGGACGUCGUCCCGAUAGUGAUGGCGGACGCCGAGAUGAGCACGUGGCACCACUGCCACCCUGUCUUAGGGUAACGCGAGUCGAGGCGGACGUCGGCGCAUUAGCGACGACGGACGCCGACACGAGCACGUGACACCAGGGCCACCCUGUCUAUCUUACGGUAACACGAGUCAAGGAGGACGUCGUUGUGGUAGCGACGACGGACGCCGAGACGAGCACGUGACACCACUGUCACCCUGUCUAUCUUAGGGCAACGCGAAUCGACGCGGACGUCGCCACGGUAGCGACGACGGACGUCGAGACGAGCACGUGACACCACUGCCACCAUGUCUAUCUUAGGGUAACGAGAGUCGAGGCGAACAUCAUCGCAGAUGCGACGAUGGAUGCCGAGACGAGCACGUGACACCACUACCACCCUAUCUUAGCGUAAUGAGAGUUGAGGUGGACGUUGUCGCGAUAGCGACUACGGAAGCCGAGAUGAGCACGUGACACCACUGCCACCCUGUCUUAGGGUAAUGCGAGUCGAGGCAGACGUCGUCGCAUUAGCAACGCCGGACCGCGAGAUGAGCACGUGACACCAAGGCCACCCUGUCUAUCUUACGCUAACGCGAGUCGAGGCGGACGGCGUCGCGGUAGCGACGACGGACGCCGAGACGAGCAUGUGACACCACUGUCACCCUAUCUAUCUUAGGGAAACGUGAGUCGACGCGGACGUCGUCGUGGUAGNNNNNNNNNNNNNNNNNNNNNNNNNNNNNNNNNNNNNNNNNNNNNNNNNNNNNNNNNNNNNNNNNNNNNNNNNNNNNNNNNNNNNNNNNNNNNNNNNNNNNNNNNNNNNNNNNNNNNNNNNNNNNNNNNNNNNNNNNNNNNNNNNNNNNNNNNNNNNNNNNNNNNNNNNNNNNNNNNNNNNNNNNNNNNNNNNNNNNNNNNNNNNNNNNNNNNNNNNNNNNNNNNNNNNNNNNNNNNNNNNNNNNNNNNNNNNNNNNNNNNNNNNNNNNNNNNNNNNNNNNNNNNNNNNNNNNNNNNNNNNNNNNNNNNNNNNNNNNNNNNNNNNNNNNNNNNNNNNNNNNNNNNNNNNNNNNNNNNNNNNNNNNNNNNNNNNNNNNNNNNNNNNNNNNNNNNNNNNNNNNNNNNNNNNNNNNNNNNNNNNNNNNNNNNNNNNNNNNNNNNNNNNNNNNNNNNNNNNNNNNNNNNNNNNNNNNNNNNNNNNNNNNNNNNNNNNNNNNNNNNNNNNNNNNNNNNNNNNNNNNNNNNNNNNNNNNNNNNNNNNNNNNNNNNNNNNNNNNNNNNNNNNNNNNNNNNNNNNNNNNNNNNNNNNNNNNNNNNNNNNNNNNNNNNNNNNNNNNNNNNNNNNNNNNNNNNNNNNNNNNNNNNNNNNNNNNNNNNNNNNNNNNNNNNNNNNNNNNNNNNNNNNNNNNNNNNNNNNNNNNNNNNNNNNNNNNNNNNNNNNNNNNNNNNNNNNNNNNNNNNNNNNNNNNNNNNNNNNNNNNNNNNNNNNNNNNNNNNNNNNNNNNNNNNNNNNNNNNNNNNNNNNNNNNNNNNNNNNNNNNNNNNNNNNNNNNNNNNNNNNNNNNNNNNNNNNNNNNNNNNNNNNNNNNNNNNNNNNNNNNNNNNNNNNNNNNNNNNNNNNNNNNNNNNNNNNNNNNNNNNNNNNNNNNNNNNNNNNNNNNNNNNNNNNNNNNNNNNNNNNNNNNNNNNNNNNNNNNNNNNNNNNNNNNNNNNNNNNNNNNNNNNNNNNNNNNNNNNNNNNNNNNNNNNNNNNNNNNNNNNNNNNNNNNNNNNNNNNNNNNNNNNNNNNNNNNNNNNNNNNNNNNNNNNNNNNNNNGCGUCGCGCUAGCGACGACGGACGCCGAGACGAGCACAUGACACCAAUACCACCAUGUCUAUCUUAGGGAAACGCGAGUCGACGCGGAUGUCGUCGUGGUAGCGACGCGGACACCGAGGCAAGCACGUGACACCACUGCCACCCUGUCUAUCUUAGGGUAACACGAGUCGUGGCGGAUGUCGUCGUGGUAGCGACGACGGACGCCGAGACUAGCACGUGACACCACUGCCACCCUGUCUUAGGGUAACGCGAGGCGAUGCGAAUGUCGUCGCGGUAGCGACGAUGGACUCCUAUACGAGCAUGUGACACCACUGCCACCCUCUCUUAGGGUAACACGAGUAGAGGCGGAGGUCGUCGCGGAAGCGGCGACGGAUGCCUAGGCGAGAACGUGACACCACUGCCACCUUGUCUUAGCGUAACGCAAGUCGAGGCGGACGUCGUCCCGAUAGCGACGACGGACGCCACGGCGAGCACGUGACACCACUGCCACCCUUUCUUAGCGGAACACGAGUCGAGGCGGACGUCGUCGCGAUAGCGAUGACGGACGCCAAGACGAGCAUGUGACACCGCUGCCACCCUGUCUUAGGGUAACACGAGUUGAGGCGGACGUCGUCCCGUUAGCAACGACGGACGCCGUGACGAAAGUGGAGCGCUCAAGGCCGGAAUCGACCGCGAAAGGGAAUAGAAUGGGCGCAACCAUUCGCUAACUUUGUCGUUUGCUGUCGCAUCGAUCUGGUGUGAAAUGAGAGCUCCUAUGUGUCGCAUUUUGCGGGGCGCCACCGAGUGGGCCGGCCCAUUAGUAGCACUGCAGCAAGCCAAUAAACGCACUGUAGCUAAAAACUGAGCGCCCCGUGGGGACGGACGCCGAGACGAGCACGUGACACCACUGCCACCCUGUCUUAAAAGUCGAGGCGGACGUCGUCUAGCAUGUCAUGUCAAAUUGACACAAAAAAUGUUCAUUUAAAAAAAAUAUUAGAUAUUUCAGAAAAUGUUCUUGUUUUUCAGGAAAUUUCAGGAAUUCAAAAGUUGUUUAUUUCUACAAAUUUGUUCUUGAUUUGAAUUUUUUCUCAUUAAUUUUAAAACAUGUUCAUAGUAGAUCAAUUUAAUGAACAUUUCGAUUCAACCAAAAAGCUGUAGAUCAAUUUAAUUCAGUAUGUUAAUUUAUGUUUAAUAAAAUUAUGUUCAUGAAAAGUAUUAAUCGAAAGGGAAUAGAGGAAUAUGCGAAUUUAUUUUUUGUGUGUAAAAGUAGCUAUUCAUUUUAGUUGAAAGUGCUAGUUCAUUUCAAUUAAAAGUGGGAUUUCCGGCCCGUUAUUGUCCCUGAAAAACCACUGGCCCAGAAAGGGAAUAGGAAAACACAGGCCCAAAAGAAAAAAACAUGGAAAGGGAAUAGAGGCUAGGUGAGGUAUUGGGCCAAGGCUGGGCCGAACUCAUGAAAAGUGGAGCGCUCAAGGCCGGAAUCGAUCACGAAAGGGAAUAGAAUGGGCGCAACCAUUCGCUAACUUUGUCGUUUGCUGUCGCAUCGAUCUGGUGCGAAAUGAGAGCUCCUAUGUGUCGCAUUUUGCGGGGCGCCACCGAGUGGGCCGGCCCAUUAGCAGCACUGCAGCGAGCCAAUAAACGCACUGUAGCUAAAAACUGAGCGCCCCCGUGGGGGGAGCGAACUAGCGACCUCUGGCUACUGAAUGACUCUCGCUAGCCACUUGAGCUGAUGACCCGUUGGUUAUUGUUAUACACCGCAAAAUACUAAAAGCACUACUGGGAGGAGCAGAUCAAACAUGUACUGUAGCGACCGGACCGUGUACUGUAACGACACGAACAAGGCAAGGUAGAGUUUCUUUUAGAAGCUCCAAAUCUUUCUUUGAAAAACAUGAACAUUUUUUAAAAAUACAAAUAAAAUUUCAAAUUUCAAACAUUUUUCAAAACAGAUAAAAAAUUUAGAAAACCACAAAAGUAUUUAGAAUUUGUGAACAUUCUUUUGAAAAAGGGAACAUUUUUUAAAUUCCGAACAAAUUUUGAAAGCCUGAACAUUAUUUGAAACUCCCCGAACAAUUUUUGAAUUUGUGAACAAAUUUUGAAAACGAGAACAUUUUUUGAAAUUGUGAACAAAUUUUUUAAACCACAUACAUUUUUUGAAAUUGUAAACACUUUUUGAAUUUGUGAAAAUAUUUCAAAAUGAGAACAUUUUUUGAAAUUCUGAAUUAUAUUUGAAAUUUUCAAAAAAGUUCGAAUAGAAAAAUAAACUUAAAAAAUAAUAAGAGAAAAAUGAAAUAGAAAACAAAAAAAUAUUCAGAAAUUCAUGAACGUUGUUUUGAAAAUAUUUAGAAAAGAAGCCAACAAUUUUUGAAAUUUCUGGACAAAAUUUGAAAACAGGAACAUUUUUGGAAAUUCCGAAACAAUUUUAAAAUGCAAACAUUUUUUGAAUGUAGAAACAAAAUUUGAAAAAAGGAACAUUUUCCAAAUUUUGAACUUUUUUUAGGAAUCUGAAUAUUUCUAGAAAAAGAAAAAUGAAAUUGAAUAAAAAGAAAACGGAAAAAGAAAAAGAAAAACCUGACCACAAAGAAAUAGAAAAAAAGAAAAGAAAAGAAAAGAAAAAACCGUAGAAAAGAAAAAAACUGGUUCAGGGAACCUUCUGGAAGGUUCCCAAAACCAGAUGGGGUAGUGCCAACGCGAUCUACUCAAAUAGGCUGGCCCAGUCGUGUUGGUCGGCCGAUCGCCUGUGCAUUGCCCUGGCAACUUGCCGCGACGAGCGGCAAAUAGGAAAUUCCGUGCGAAAAAUCGAGGGCGCCUCUUAGGACGCGCGCGCUAGUGACGCCGCAUUGGAGUUCUCUCUAUACGGAUACUUGCUAGCGUUGACCAAGCACGGAAAUAAGCGAGGUCACUUCUCUCUAUUAGCUAGCUAACACAAUAUAUGAAACCCCCUCUCCCUUCUUUAAAAAAAACCAAAACCCCUGCUCCUGCUAGCUGCUGACGCGUGGAUGCCUUUUGGUACCGGUUGCUGUUACCAACCGGGACUAAAGGUGCUCCUGCCUAGGCGCCCCGCAGCGGCCACGUGGAGCCCCUUCUGUCCCGGUUCAUAAGCGAACCGGGACUAAAGGUUUUGGGCUUUAGUCCCGAACCUUUAGUCCCGGUUCCAGAACCGGGGCUAAAACUACAAAAAAAAUACACUUCCGUGGUGAUACACGUUUGUCACAGUAGGUCGCAUUUUCUGUCAUGCAUGUACAUCCAUGACGAUUUUAUGACAGAAUCAAGGUAGUCAUACCUGUGCUGUCGUAGAAGUGUUCCAUGACAUUACCAAAAUUAUCAUCACGGAAAUGUCCACUUCCAUGACGAUAAAUCCCGCGUCACAGAAGUGCUUUCGUCAAGGGUGACCGACACGUGGCAUCCACCGUAACGGAACGCCGUUAAGCUAUCGGGUCGGGUUUUGGAUCCGAUAACCCGUUAACAACCCCGACCAAUGGGGAUUUUCCACGUGUAAAAUCAUCAUUGGCUGGAGGAAACACGUGUCGGCUCAUCGUUGGGACAGAUGUCAUCCACUCAAUGGACAGAAGGCGCCUAUGAUACGUCGACACGUGGCACGGCCCAACAGAGGCCCAUUCCUGUGAAAAGGCCGGCCCGUUUGACUUGGUCAAAAGGUGGCGGGCCGGCCCAUGUAAAGCCUGUUAACUGCCUGUUCGCAUAUAGCCCAUUUACAGCCCGCUAACCCAAGGCCCGUUACGCCCUAUCCGAAUUAGGCCCAGUAGCGUCAUCUGGGCCACCCAAUAUGAUUCCAGCCCGUUUUCACUUCUGGCCCAUGUAUGGCCCAUGACGUCUUUCGGCCCAUAUGAGGCCCUAUGUAACUCUUGGCCUAUUAACGGCCCGUGGUGAAACUGGCCCGUAAUGAACAGUGUAUCACUUUACACCCAUUAACGGCCCGUGGUGAAACUGGCCCGUAAUGAACAGUGUAUCACUUUAUACCCAUUAACGGCCCGUUAUCCCGUUGGGCCGUUUCCAUCCCAUGUUAUCUUUCGGCCUUCUCAGAGCCCAUUUAUUCUUGGGCUCAUUUACAGCAUUCGUUUACUUAUGGCCCGUUACUGUCAUUUUCUGCUUGUGGGCCAAAUUCAGCCCGUGGUUACAGUCCGCCCGUUUGUGGUCCGUUAAUACGUUGGGCCGUUUUCAUAGCGUCAUCAAAUACGGCCUAUUAACGAUGGUCCGUUAUGGUCGGCCCAUGAACGGACGAUUCCAACUCUAGCCCGUUUACGGCCAUAAUGCGGCAUGUUAUUGGCCCAGGUUUGGCCAAUCGAUCAUACUGCCCGUAUAAGGCCCAUUGAUGAUACGGCCCGUAGAAGGCCCAUUGUUUCUACGGCCCAUAGAAGGCCCAUUGUUUCUACGGCCCGUAGAAGGCCCACUGUUUCUAUGGCCCGUAGAAGGCCCACUGUUUCUACGGCCCGUAGGAGGCCCAGUGUCACUACAGUAAAUAUUAGCCCAUGGUUAUUGUGGCCUAGUUUUAAAAAAUAGGCUAUUGCAGCCACUAGCAAACCGCGGAAAAAGAACUGCAAUGACUGCAAGCAAACAAAUAAACAAGACAACAAGGAAAUAAACAAGCAAGCAACUUAUGCUAGGCUAUCACACAUAUUACAUCCACUGGGCAUCAAAGUUCGCCACCAGUGCAAAUAAACGCGCCGACAAAAGAAUAUACAAAACUGAGAGCACUUCAGGAGGCACUAGGCCUGGCCAUGUCGGGCCCCCCAAACAGCCGAAGAAGCUGAGUAGACCUCGGUUGUGUCAACGAUAGAUGCAUCAACACUAGAUUUAAGGCAUGAUGGUGCGCAUGGCAGUCCUCUGACAUCUUCAUUGCAUCUUUGACUUCAAGUCGGAGCUGAGCUGAAGCAAGCCUUUCCGCUUUAAGUUGAGACUGAAGAAGUCGAACUGAUUGAGGCAGCGACUGCACAGAGGUUGUCUCACACCUGCUGGUGAGUAGCUUCAACUCACUGUCUUCAUCAAGACAGGACCUCGGGGUCAUCUCGCUGUCCUCAAGAUGGUUUGGCUCACUAUCUUCCCUAAAGUUCUGCCUGGCGUAAGAGAUACGAGUCUGAAAGAGAAACAAGGAGACACGUAACAGGUUUCACAAUUAUAUAAGCAAAUAAAUGGAUCUGUUCUGCAUAAGGAACAUGUUUUUACAACUACAAUUUGAAACUGGUAGUUGUUGCAAACAUCCAAUCAGAUGUAAACAGCAAAGCAAACAGCAGUGGAGGAAAUGAUGCCUAUCCAAAUCUAUACUAGAACAAAGUUUGAAGGCUUGAGAAGGAUGAACUUACAUUACAUGUUAACACGGGCUGGACAAAGUCCUUCUCCAUGUUGAUGGAAGGAUAAUUCAAUAAAUUCCCCAAAGAAAAUUCUUUAUAAGCGUUGCCAUUAUUCUACAUUUUGCAAAGAGUAAAUAUAGAUCAAAUAAUAUUGGAAGAAACAGAGGAUAAUGAAGCUCAGGUGCAGACUGAUGAUACAUAAUCAAAUAGCAAUUAAUUAAGUACAACGUUACAAGGCAAAAGGGAGAGAGGUACUGACAAGAGCAAUGCAGAGCCCAUUAUUGUUUUGAGAUUGUAUGAUCCUUUGAGCAAGGAGAUUCAUCUGAAAUUAGUUUUCAUACAAGAGAGAAGGUAAGGCACAAGAAAAAUUUAGGAGUUCAAAUUUUGAAUUGAUAUCAUAGACAGUACCUGACGCUGGGCUCCCAGCAGUUCUAAUAGGGGUUUGGCCACUGGAGUAGGGGUAAAGUGUGGUACAGUUGGGCCUGUGUUUUCUGUGGCUGCUGAUCUAUCUGAUUUAACAGGUAUCACUACCUUUUCCAAAUACCUAGUUUGUACUCCUUGAGGAUCUGCACUCACCCUCUUCCUUUUGGAAAUCUAUUACGAAAGAACAACAUUUGACUGGAAAAACAUAGUGUGACGAGACAUGGAAUAGGUACAGAAAAUGGAUAGGUAUGGCAUAUACUCAUAUAUGAUGCUUAAACUAAGCAGAUGGUGUAACAAAGUAGAAGUAAUGCAAGCGGUCAGAUGCAAAAUAUGCGCGACCAAUACAACUUUGCAAAGUUAGAGCAAGCACCUUGAUGGGUGAAUAAGAUAGGCCAUCCUCCACCAUGCCAAGUUUGUUAGCCAGUGAAUCGUUCCGCAAUAUUCCUCUCAUGCGCCCAUUCUCAUAUUCAUUUUGAUAAUGUUCAAUAUCUGACAUGCAUGAAAACAUAAAAACAAGUGAGAUUUUCUUUGUAAUGCAGAAGUGAUUCUAAUCCAAUACUGCCUCCCUGUAAACCCCUUUGUGCUAUCUCUGCAAUUCUUUUAAAAGAUGCCAUGCAUGCUGUAAUUUGUUGUGUGCAUUAAUAUAAUGUCGCCUACUACUCAAAAUAUGAGAGCUCCAGAAGUGAUGACACUUCGCAGAUGAUAGCUUCAACAUAUAGUAAAGAAGAACAAGUCGACCUGACCUGACAUAUUCAAAAUAUACUAAGGGAGAACAACUCGACCUGACCAGUCGACCGCAAGGGAAGAGUAUCAUCUUAAAGAAGAGCAGAAGAGCAAGCAGAUUGAAGAUAUUACAAGUCUUUCAAUACAAUGUCGGUUGGCCACCCAUGAUGAACCAGAGCGCACAGAGAAAUACUAUUCUUUCUGGUCUCUCCAUAUGUGGCUCACAUGCAUUUCGAAACUAAAGAAGGAACAUUUAGCUAACCAAUUAAACAUCUCUCAGUUUUACUAAUAUCAGCAAUAAUAUCAUAUAUGAAUUUGUACAACUAAGCUUUUUUAGCUCGAUGGGUGGAGCAGUGCUAUUACGACACGAACCACGUAGGCUGAUUGUGGUCAUCAUAAAAUGGGGAAAACAUAAGCAUGAUGAGUACAGUGUUGACCGUGGCAGUGGGAUGGCAGAUCUGAAGCUGCAAACCGCGCAAAGGGUAGUUAGCAACCGAUGUUUGCUUUGAAAUAACAACUAAGAUUUGGUAUGGACAAGAAAGUACGGUCAACAAGUGACAAAGAAAUGCAAUUAUGCUGUCUCUCUAUAUGUCGCGACAUGCAUUUGGAAACUCAAGUGGGACCUUUAGCUAACCAAUUAAAUGUGUCGGUUAACUAAUAUCAGUAUCAUAUCACAAUCAUAUUUGAACAACUAAGCUUUCGAAUUCUGAGUGUUGUGUUGUUUAGCUUGAAGGGUGGAGUAAUGCUAGUACGACAGAAAGGACCUACGCAGAUCAGAGUAGAGUAGAUAAAAGGGGAAAACCCUAAGCAUCAAGAGAAAAAUCAGGAAAGUGGAACUAGCUGGACCAGUGGGUGGCGCACAUGCUUUUUGAAACGAAUAUAGGAACAUUAGGUGACCAAUUAAACGUUCUCUGUUUUAGUAAUAUGAGCAUCAUAUCAGAUUCGUAUUUCAACACGUAAGCUUUGGGUUGAGGUCUUGAGGAGCAGUGCUAGCACGACACGAAGCACCUACGAUGAUGGUAGUGAAUAUAAAGGGGGGAAACCAUAAGCUUUACGAGUAUAGUGCCCGUGCCAUGGAGGAUCUGAAGGUGCAAACCGGACAAAGCUACUUCACAACCAAUGUUUGCUUUCAACUAGCCACUAUGAUUUGGUACGGACAAGAAAAGUAAAGUAAACAAAUUACGGUCUAUUUUCCGGGUGAGAUCAAUAACUUAAGCACAUAUGGAAGAGUACCACCUCUCUUGCGACGCCGUGUAGGCCUAUGCUGAUACGUUGAGGGUGCUGCGGGUGCGAUGGCUAUCGGCGGCGGGGAAGAAGACUUUAGACGGCAGACGACCGGGUCAGGGGAUAUAUCCUGUUGCCGUGGACGAGGCGGUCGUAGGAGCGGCAACGGCAAGGUGGACGACGGCACCGAUGAAGCGAGAGGAGGCGAUGAAAGGAUCCUGGUCCAACGCCGUGGAUGAGAGACGUCCAUCUCUUGCAGUGGACGACGGGGUAGGGGUAGCGGCUCCGGCAAGGUGGAAGAUGGGGUGGCGGACGGAGGAGGCUGGCCGCAGUGCGGAGGUUGUCGUGCCGCCGACGGUGUAUGAAUGGGGAAAUGGAGGGGAGGGGGGAUCUCAAACUUUGGGACGCGCUUCUCUGAAAUGGGGGAAAGUUACGAACUUAUCCCCCGUUUAAAAUUUCGGACAUCGCAUCGGUUGGGGAUAGGACGGUAAUCUCGCAUCUCCCAAAUAUUUGCCGGUAACUAUUUCGGGCGAGGAGAGGGUGUUUUGCCGCCCACGGUUGGCGCCCACGGUGUAUGAACGGGGCUGACAGGUAGGGCGGUUGUGUCACGUCUGAUGGAAGUUACACAUCUGCCCCUAUUUAAAAUAUUAGCCUACAUCGAUUUCGGACGAGGAGAGUUUGUUUUGCCGCCCACCGUGUACGAAUGGGGAAAUGGAGGAAGAGACACAUGUCUUUCGGACGAGCUUGAAUCAAAUGUGUUUUGCUGCCCACGUUUGGCGCCCACCGUGUCUGAAUGGGCUCAGAGGCCGUCGUGUCACGUCUGAUUUAAGUUACUAGUCUACCCCUAUCGACAGCAGUGUAAAUCCGGUCGAUAAGGAUGUCAAGUGUGAGGGGUAGACAGUAAUUUCCAUCUCGCAAACACUUGCUUCGGGCAGCCCACAAAUUACAGUGGGUGUUUAGCCUCUUCGUUCAAAACUUGGGAGAAUUAGCAUUCACGUUUGCCCUGGGACCUGGCAAACUAAAUUCAAAUCCAAUUUGUAUUCAAUUACGAAUAUCCACAGAUAAUUAUACAUUUUGUUAUUUAUUUCUUCGAAACCAUAACAAACAUUUAUUCCACCUUUAUAUAUGAUUAUGAUUUAGAAAUGCCGUGAUCUUCGAAUUCAGUAGGUUGGAUACACUCUGAGUCAAACAGUUAUUUCAUCCAAUACAAUAUGCUCACACGAAAAACAGUUCACCUUAUGUCAAUCAUACAAGUACUGAGGAUUACCUCGCCUAAAAAAUUCGGAUCAUUACAACACAUGGACAACAUAGGGGGUCUUGCAACAUAAUCCAUUCAGAGAUAUGACACAACAUGCAAGUACAAUAAUCUAAUGACAAUUUCAACUGGUAUCUAAAGAAGAACCGGGAUUACCUUGGGCUUUAGAUAGCAGAAACAGCAGGACCUCCUCCGUCUUCAAAUGCAACAUUCUUACUUCCUCCAAUUCUAGGGUUGCUUGCAUAAUGCGUGGCGCUAAUUCCGUAAUUUCCAGCCUCAAGAUAAAGAUUACCUCAUUGAUGGCAGCCCCACCAUCUCUUUCUGCCUCUAGUAGAGCCUCAAGCACUAUAAUAUCUGUGCUCAGACUGCUCUCCGGCGGUGUUGCCUCUGAACUGCUACCAUCUGGUAACAUGGAUGGCACACUGCUUCCACAAAUAGAUUCUGGGGUUGUACAUUGUGUCCAAGUGUGAACGGCAUCCUGGAAGGUUUUCGCUGGACAUCAGUAAGAGAUAGUUAUCGUAUGAUCCAGGCAGUAAGCUUACAUGGUAAACGAUGGAUGAAUUAUUGCCGAGCAUGGCAAACUAUAUUUAAAUGGUUCGAAGCAGCAUCAGCCGAAAAGAAAUUAAAAUUGUAAGAUGAAACUAGGGAUGUAAGUGGCAAAUAAACGACAUCCGCCAGUCCCAUCUAGUUAGUUUUUGCUACCUCCCUAGUUCAUUUUCCACAAAAAACAAAAACUCUUUUGAACUAUCAUACCACUAGUGGACUUUAAUCGGGAUUAAACGGGACCCAGUUGACAUCCCUAGUUGAAAGGGAGUGUACAACCGCUAUAUUUAAGUUGCCAAGGCAUCUAAGCAGUUGAAAUAAUCUGAGAAAGCACUUAACAGUGUGGCCUCAUAUAAACUACCAAGACAGUCUUGUGAUGAAGUUGAGAGGAAAAGUUAAGGACUCAAAUGAAAUAGGCAUGCAUUUCUUUACGAUAGUACAGCAGGCACUGCUGACAUAUUGGACAACUCAGGUAUAGCAUAACAACAAAUAAGCAUUCGAAUCAAGCAAUACAGCAAAGCAGACAACUGAACUAUUUGUAAUUCGGUAGGAUUACAUGUUGAGGGCACAAGCCAAGAAAGCAGCCCACUCGCAUUACAUUUCACAUGUACUAAAACACACUGGCUUACCAUAUGUUGCUGUGAAGCCUAGCUGCUGUUGCAAUGUUCUUUGAAGAUAUCGUCAGCAUCCCGUGGUUGCAAAUCUAGUUGUUGUAGUUUAUUCUGCACCAUCUAUUUAGGUAAAAUUAAUUUUAAUCGCAUGCACUGGUCCGAAUUGAUCAUCAAUGGUUCAUCUAAACUAAUGAAAGAAGGGUGUGUGCAUACACGACAAUAUACCUGCUUCCCUCUAUUUUUAUGCUUGUUCGAGGUGCCAGCCCCAAAAGAACAAAUAUUUUGCUUGAUGGGGUUGGCAGCUCCAUAAUUAAUAGAAGCAUCAAAUUAGUCAUGCAACUUGGGAAGAUCAAGAACACACAAACAAGUAAUGAACAGAGGCUCGGAGCGGUGAUGUAAUAGCUAGCAUCAGAAAAUGUAGGGUAAAAUGAACAAAAAGCAGCGGAACCACAUGCUAGUUUGCUGAUGUGUAAUUAAGCAUAGAGAACAUUAAGCAGUCUGAUGGAACCAACAGGUGGCAUCAGAACAAAACUAAAGCAUAUUAACUAUAUGUGCACUAAUAUGUAAUUUAGCACAUGUAACAUGUUCACUGCCAGAAGAAUGGCCCUACAGGUGCAAGCAGAAUAACGCGUCUCAUGAAAAACUGAAUGAUGCCCUGAAGAAAUUCAAAGGUGCGGUGCUUAUGCUAGGAAAGUGAACGUAGGCGCCGGCCGUUGGAUAAUAGUACCUGAUUCUCGGCGGCGUAUGGGUAUCGUUGUCAUACUUGAUAGCUAAGGAUCGUCGAUGGUGCUCGUGUUGCGGUUGAGUUUGGGCCGGCUGUCGUCGUCGCUGAAGCGGCUCCGGUGCUACGGUUGCGGUGCCUGUCGACAUACAAGAAAGUUCAUCUGUGGUAAGUGAACAGUUGCACGAUAAAGAGAAAAACCGAAGGAGUACAAAUUGAAAUAACCUGAUGAGGCUGCGGCGUCGGUAAAGCAGGGCCGGUGGAGUUGAAUAUGGUGUCUAUGGAGCGGGUCCGGUGUAGUGGACGAAGGCUUCGACGGGCCUGUUGUACAGUGCUUUCGGUGAGGCGGAUCUGUUGCGGCGGACGAGGGCUUGUAUGAAGGGCCAGCGAAGGGGCGGACGAGGGAGUCAGUGAAGGGCCUACGCUACGGUGGACGAGGGCACCGGUUAAGCAGAUCCGGUGCGGUGGACCAUGAUGGCGGUCAAGGAGAUCUGGAGCGGUGGACAAGCCAGUCGCUGAAGCGGCUCCGGUGAAGUGGUGAGUUGGCAGUUGGGGGUUCCAAGGUGCGGAAGGUAGAUCUGGCGGGGUGUGAGGUCCACCGCUGCGGCGGAGGACUAGAUUCGGCGGCUUGCCGUGGUUGGGGGGGUCGGGGAGGGGAAGGGGAGGGGCUCUGGGGAAGAAUGUUAGGGGCAAAGAGGGGAAAACAAUGGAGUUACCAAAGCAGCCCUUUUCCGUUCAUGUGGCAGGGGUAAAACAGGAACAUCGCAGGGCUAAACUUUCGGGCGCGUGAUAUUUCGAUGUGAGCGGGAAGUUUGAAAGCUUUUCGCACCUAAAAAUAUAAGUAUUCUGCUCUCGUACGACCGACUAUGAUAUCAUGGCCGACAAUUUGUUUGUUUUGCACGCAAAAAAUGUGCAAGUUUUGAAAAUCAAUGUCUCCAACUCGAAACUUAGAUUGUCCAUUCAAUUCAAACAUGGUUCAUUGAGCUACUACAAGCAAAUACCAUCAUACGGUCCAGUUCAAAUGAAAUUCCAAAUGUGUUUAUCCUAAAUAUGAUGACAAAAGCAAAAAUGUGUAUGUGUAUGAAUAAAGUGGAUGAUUAUAAAGUUUGAACAUGCCCGUAUGUGUAUAUCUCUAGGUUUGAUAUAUGAAUUUGAAAUCACAAAAUCCCGGCUUAAAAAAUGUACCUCCGUUUAAAUGAAUUACAAAAGCUAAUGAUGGAGUCGAAUUCCAAAAUUCCAAUCUUAGGUUUGUAAUUCUGGUACAUCAAGGUAUAUCACGCAUGUUGAAAAGUAUCAUUAUCUCAUAGUACAAACUGUGAAACAAAUUGAUCAACCAUGAGUGCACAAUAUCUCAAUUACGCUAAAGUCCCUCAAAUAUAGACACCUCACUCUUUAUCUGAAGUCAACCCCCCACCACCACACACACACACACAUAGAGAAGUCGUUCUCUCCCCCAAACACCAACACACGAGCACAUUAACACCCCUCUCUCUUGUAAAGUCCGGACCCCAACAUAGGUCUCUAUCACUUUGUCUCUCGGGCAUGCACACAUGUCUUCCCUCACUCUCUAGGUCUCCCGCUAUCUCUCUUACCCAAGAACACACACUAUGUAGAGUGUAUAUUUCCCAUACACACAAAACGUUGCCCCCAAACGUCUAUCUCCCUAGUUAUGUGGUUCUCGCGCACUCACCUCACACACCACCCCCACUACAAACAAGCACACUUUGUCUCCUUGUGCACCACUCUCCUCUUUCUAUCUAUCCCACAUGCGGACCCGCCCCAGCUCCUUCCCUGUAUACAUAUAUGUCGUGACUCUUUGCAUAGCUCCCUAAUGUAUAAUCGUUCUCGAUUUCGCACAUUGUUCUCUACACCAUCUAUUCUAGAUCUCUCAUGAAGUCCCUAUCACACACACGAUGACUCGCUUCCCUUGCGUCUCCGUUCAUAGGCCAAUUUCGGAUAACAUCAACAUUGUCUCCCUAUCUAUACGCCAUUUAUGGACACAAACGACCCCUCUCGCCCCCUCUCUUCCUCUCUCUCUCUCUCUCUCUCUCUCUCUCUCUCUCUCUCUCUCUCUCUCCGUCGCUAGCUCUCUCUUUCUCUCGCUCUCACACCCCUCUCCCACACACACACUCGAUGUCUCUUCCAAAUAGUCUGCUCCCCCCACCCGCACCCGUGCUAUCUCGCUACUACACAUGUCACACCAUUCCCCUUCCCUUAUACUAGGUUUACAUCAUCAGUGGUCUCUCUACUCCACAUACACUCUCUCCCUCUCACACACAAACGCAUGCACAAACACACACAGACACGCACAAACACCCAUUUAUCUGGAUCCUCAUCUCUCCUCAUGUCCGCAUGUGUAUCUCACACACUCACUCUCUAAUUAUGUAUAUGUGUCUCCACGUUACACAACACAAAGCCCCAUGUACAUGUCUCUCUCUAUCCUCCACACACAUAGACACAAAGAAUCUGUUAUCAUUGCCUUAGUCUCUAACAUAUCACACACGCACACUGUCUCUCUCUCUCUCGCAAACACGCUCAACAAGGGUUUCCCCGUGAAUAACUUACCGUCUAUUCAUCAACAGUCGUGGCAGUACGGCGAACACGAGACGUGAAAAAAGAAUAAAUCUACACGUGCUUAGACCACCUAGUAUGACUACUAGGACUAGAGCAAGCCAAAAAGCGUGCCGCCGUCACCCCCUCCUUGUCGGCGACGGGAAAAUCUUUGUUUUACACAGUCGAGAAGUCAUUGUGCUAAGGCCCCACAUGCUGAGGUGUUGAAUAGAAUGUAGAUGCUAGUUUACGGAAGCAAGUAUCGAUAAUAUGUUUGUAUCUCCAUACUUAUAUUUCUUCUCUUAUAAAAAACCGAGUUGGUGAUGAUGGUACGUGUGCCAUCUUGCAAUAUAGACCGUCCGAUCUAUAUCUGAUGGAUGGAAAUUAAACUAAAAGAUACCCGCACCCCUCUCCACAUUUGGAGACAAGGCCUUCCCUCGUUCAUCCUUAUCUCCAACAAACCUCAUUGUUGAGCAAUUAAGAAAGGAAGCCUCUGGAACAAACUGGCCUGGUGGCCGCUGCCGGCGUCGUCAAUCCCCAUGCCUCCGCUCAGUCCGACCACCAACCACCACCACACCCCACUCCUCUUCACCUUAUCUCAUAUUUCUCGAGAUAUCAUUAGUUUUUACACAUGGGAUUACUCCCGCAAGGGUCAAUCACAACAGUGUUUUAUAAAAAAAUGCAUCUUGAUGUUCCAUGCAAUGCACGGAUCUUGCUAUUACUCCUACACAAGACUAAGUUGGUGAUGCUGGUGUGUCUGCCAUCCGUCGUUUCUGACCAUUAGAUCUACAUCUAACGAUUGUGAGGUAAGUUGUUGCCUUUUCUUACCAACAUCCCACUUGUCUACCAAUUUGCAGAAAAACCCAUAAUUAGUAUCUUAAAACCAACCACAUCCCUCCCUGACCUCACCCAAACAGCCCAAGGAAUAUAUUCUAAUUGAAACAUAAUAUAUCUCUAGUGACAUAUGUAUAUCAAAAUUAGAGUGUUUUGUACCAAGUUUGUGAAUAAGUAUUAUUCUAAUUAUGAUUCGUUGCAACGGACAUGAACAUUGCUAGUAUUUCCAACCAUGCAUUUUUUCCUAGUAUUCCAUAGUUUCGAGUUUUCCAUCAAGAUAUUAGUCACUCAUGGUUGAUAUUUACUUUCAAUCAUGUACCCAUAUGCACUAUGUAACUAGCCUUGCUUAUUGGCUUCCAAAGCUUAACUUUCACUCCUACUUACAAUAUGUAGAGUAUUUAACAAAAAACUACCACUUUCAGCCAGCCCUAGGAAGAAUCUAUUGUACAAAAAAUAGCAAAAACAUACCCAAAAUUUCUUAAUCCACGCUAAAAACUACCUAGUACUCCUACCGAUUAGGUUCGUUUAAACCCAUUUAUGACAGGGUUGGCCCACACGUCCGUGCUGACGAGGCAGCUUAAACCAACACAUUUUGUUUGACCGUUGACACGAGGGACCCACAUCUGACCUUCUAUCCUGUUAUUCCCCCUCAAAUCAUUAUUUUUCCUGAACAUUACUUCAAACAGUACGGAUGCGUAUUCGUCGGUGGCGCCGGUGAUGAGCGAGUUGGCCGCCGCUCCGCUGGACGGGCCGGAUGCCGCGGUGGCCUCCGCACGGGUUGGCAGGCUGGCCCGAGCGUGACUCACGAGCGAGCAAGCCGCCGCGCUGGCCUUCGCUCGAGCCAGAUGGCUGGCCUUAGCGCGGCGCGCGCGAGCAAGCGGCCGCGCUGCCGUGCCAAUCUAGCUAGCAAACCUUGCAGACAAGCAGCUGGACGGAGCUAUCUUGGCUAGCUAGCGGCCGCGAGCAACGGACGGAGCUGGCAUCCGGGCUACCGCAACAUGGGCUCCGCACCGCCGGCGGUUUUGACCUCGCCUUCUGCCGGCGGCGGUAGCUGCGUCCCAUGGCCGAGGAUGACUAGGAGGACGGGCCAGAGGUAGGAGGUCACUCGAGGAUUUUUGUUGGUAAGAGCAUGUACAAUGGUUGAUAAGGUAGUCUUAUCUUAAGUCUGCCACGUAUGCAAGUGGUAGUAGUUUCUUGGCAUUUUAGUGGUUUCUUGCAUUAUUAGAGCAAGUACAAUAGAGCCGAGUCAGCGGGCUAUAAGAAAUAAACUAGUAUAUUUCUUCUUAGUUGGAGGAAAGAGAAGAGGAGAGAGAAGGUAAGCGGGUUCGUGAAGAGCCAGCUCUAGCACGUGCUCCUAGGCACUAUGUGAGAAUGAGAAGUGGGCCACAUAAUAAAAAAGUAGUACACUCUUUUGAUCUAUUAUUGUACAUGUUGGCUAUAAGAUGAGCUGUAGAUGACAUGGCACUGGCUUAUAGCCAGCAGCUGGCUAUACUAUUAACCAUGCUCUUAGGGGUUUCUUGUAAGGAACAAUGUACGUACUACUAGCGACAAAAGGCGAUUCUAGGUUGCGUUGUACUCCAACGAGUACUACUAGUGGUCGCGGGAGUGUAUACCUCAUUUUGUGGGUUCAAUCCCGGCCGAACGCACGGCGGCCUUUUUUUUAAAAAUAGUACUACUACACUUCGCUGCAAGCCAAUAUUCACGGGUAGUUUGAGUUUUGAAGUCUAACGGACGUGCGGCCCCACAAUCUGGGUGCACUGGAUAGCCUAGCCACGUGAACGGGUUUUCCUUCCCAGCAUCCCGUGGCUCGCGUGCUCGCCCUAGCCGCAUCUCGCUUGCAGCUUCCAGCUAGUAGCAUAUUUAAACUAGCGCCUCCCAAUUAAGCCCGAGGAGCCGGAAAAGCCUGGCGGGGCAUUGGGAACUGUGCAAUAUGGCUCUGUACGUAAAGUGCUCUACUACUACUCUGUAGCUUGUGGCGUUACACGCAUGGACUUCACUCCAUUAUCGGCUCUACUAUAAAAGAAAUUCCUCUUGACGUGUUUUUUUGAAACGGAGGCAAAAGCUGUGCUUCAUCUCAUUCAUAAAGAAGGAACUACUAACAAAGUUUGACGAGAUCCAUUACACCUCCACAAAUGGAAGCGAAAAGCCUAGUCUCGCUGUAUCAAAUAACUCAAAUGUUCUGCCCCCGCAGUAACCGUCGCUGAUAAACAGGCUGUUAGUGUGUGCGUGAGAGGAGCGGCUGAGUAGGCCAGCUACGUGAGAGGAGCGGUUGAAUAGAGCACCGAGAGUACCCACUAGGCCACUACGCAGGUGUACUUCCCCUGCAUUGAUAGUACAGCGAUGGUUCUAGAGAACAAUAGUACCCUCCACUUCCAACUGUAGCUCCUUGGCCCUGAGAUUCAAGAGUUCAAAACUGGUGCACUAUACUAGACUAGACUAGAAGUACAGUAAAACGCACUACUAGUUGAGAAAAGUAGUACUAGUACUGCUACAGUACGAGUACGUACUCCUCCGUCACAUAAUGUAAGACGUUUUUUGACACUAGUUGGCGUGUACAAAAAAUGGCAAAAACAUACCCAAAAUUUCUUAAUCCACCCCAAAAACUACUACCUAGUGCCAAAAGUUUCUUACUAGUGCUAUUAUUUACAGUAUAAUGCAAUCCCAUAACGUUCCAUAAUGCUAGUACUUGUAGUAAAUAAUAGCCUCGCCCCUUCGCUAAGGAACGAUCUACAGUUGGAAGGGACGAGGCCCUGCGGUUACUACGCUCUUAUCUCCUCCUCGCCAGUUCCCCUCCCCCGAAGAGAAGGCAGUUCGUCGCUGCUCCCAUGGAUUCUCUAGGCGGUUCUCCUCCUCGUCGGGGCUGGGAGACCUUGGACGAUGAUCCUCUGGGAGAAAUCGCACGCCGCUCCGACUUCCUCACCGCCGCAAGACUCGGUGCUUCCUGCACCAACUUUUUCAAGACGCUGCUUAAGCAGGCUCGGGAAAAGGCCAUGCUUGUUGGUCUUCCAUGCGUCCUCGAGGAGAAGGUUCUUUUAUGGGACAGUCCUUCGAACAGUCCACCGCUCCCUGGCCAUGGUUGCACGUUGACUCCGCUAGAGUUGCCGACGUUGAGAGGUAGUCGGAUUUUGUCCGAUGAACAGGUCAGUAAUGGAGUUUGAUCAUGUAGUACUUAGUUAUUCCAUUUCCAUCCCGUAAUUUCUCUGCUGCCCACCGUCUUAUAUAUAGGUCUGGGUUGGUGCCAACGAAGAUUGGCUUGCAUACCUCCGGCCGGAUACCACCAUCAUUUUGCACAACAUCCACAGCAGUGCGGCCAUUUCGGUAGACCCCUUCUCCACCAUUGGGAUCGGCCUUCCGGACUGGCUGGGCUUGAGGCUUGAAUACGUAUGAUGAUGCCUACAUGAGAUUGAAGAAGAUAGCAAUUGCGGACCCGCCGACAAAGCGACGCGGCUACGACGAUUACUAUCUCAUCACGGUGUUCGACAUAAGAAUUGCCAUCAAUGCAAGAGGCAGUAACGGCAGAGGCUGGCGCAUGUUGGCGGCGGCAGAUUUGUACCCCUACACGUUCGAAGACGCCGUGUGCCAUCUAGGCCGCAUAUUCGCGGUGACAAGCCAGGUGACUUGUUUCAUCUGGUUGCCAUCCUACGGUACGGGAGAUUACAAACAGAAUGCACAAACCAUCAUUUGCAUCCCUAACGGUACUCCAUUAUUUUGCAGGGACCAGUCAUCCCCCGAUCAAAAUAAGAUCGCCGAUCCUGGAUGUGCAUUUGCAUCCGCGAUUCGGUCUAACCUGGAACCUUGUAGCUGACUUUGGCAUAUUGGGAUCAACUAUCUUAGCAGUCGUUACCCAUGGUACCACUGAUGUGCAACAUGGUCACACAAUCUACCACGAUCGGACCAUCACCAUCUACCCAGGUAUUCCAUUUUUUAACCCUCUCGCCUUCUCUUUCAUUGUUGUACUAGUAGUAUACUUUGUAGUACUAGUAGGAGUACUUUUUACCUUGGAGGACGCGUAUAGCUAGCUAGGCCCUUAAAGACUUGAACCCACUAGCUGCCACCAUUUUUGUUUUUCCAUGUCUUACUAUCUCAUCCAUGUUGCCAAGAGUGGCUAUAUAUAAUAAGCCAGUUAUUUUACUUCCUCUAUACCGGAGUAGUACUAUUUGCUGCACAGUAUUACUGACCGCCAUAUUUGAGCCCAACAUUAUUAUGCAUGGACCUUGACUAUGUACGUCACCAUGUGUCCAGAUCUGGGAUGCCGCGUGUACGAGAUGAACAGCGCCGAGUUCGACCCCCGUGAUGCUACGUGGGUGCCGAGGAACACUCUUGGAGAGUACUCGCUUUUCAUCGGGGACAGCUACCCCAUUGUGAAGCGGAUGCCACCUUCCGUGCAUGACACGGAAGGCCUGCCGUUCAUGAAGCAUGGUUGUGUCUUCAGUGCGCACCGCCGGAUGAACGACAAGCUGGGACACGCUAUCCCUGAUUUAUGCCGCUUCAGCUUGGAUGAGUCUCCAUCGUGUGGAACCGGACUAGAAAGCUGCGACAAUGAUUCCCGUUGCCCACCGCUAUGGAUCGUGCCAUCCAUGAAGAACACAUGGGACUGGAACCUGGAGGAGGACAUGUAGCCCAUCUAUAACAUGUAAGUGGAGUACGGUAAUUGUGAACGGUAGCGCUGUGAAUAUAUGUAGACUAGUCGUGCACAAAUUUAUCACAUGAAUUGGAGAUGAACUUGUGUGGCAUACUAGUAAGUGUGUUACGUGUACGUGCAACUUGUGUGGUUGUUGCACGGGCUCCAACACGCUCUUUGAGAAAAAAAGGUGGCACAACUUUGGAUAUACGUGACGUGGCGACAUCAUACAGUAGCAUCGUUCGCUAUAGUUGUAGUACACUCCUACUAGGAUGCCAACUCCUAUAAAACCUUGCGCUUGGCUCUUUGCCUCUUCGGGAGGUUUAACAGUUCGUACUCUUGUGAACCUUGCACUUGGCUCUUCGCCUCUUCGGAAGGUCCAACAAUGAUGAUACUACAGUACAAUAUGCUUCUGGCAAUCUGACACCGAUUGAACUGCUGCACGUCCACCGCGAGGGCGAGGGCGAGGGAGAGGGAGAGGGAGAGGGCGCUGUAGUCAAAACCCUCUCCUCGUCCUGCGAACCACCGCACGCGUGGGCGAGGGAGAGGCGUAGUAAGCAAGCUUCUCCUCGUUCGGCGAGUUGACGGGACACAUCAAAGCAGUACUAGUACUAGUAGUAGUAGUCCAUACUGCGUCCUUUCCAAUUAAUAUGGCUUAAUUUGAAUCGAGAAAAAUACACUGGCGGUAAACAUAUGUAACAAUACGCUCUUUACGGUCACUAUAUAUAGUUUUGCGGCGAUUAUACGAUCACUAGCUCAUCGUAGAGCACUGUAUUGCACCCUACUGACAGGCCACAUAGUCGACGUGGCACUUUGUUGACUGGUUAAAUUGUCACCUGGUUUCUGGGUCCCACCUGUCAGUUGGCAGAGCAAAGAAAUCAGUGUUGCGUGCGUCCAUGUGUACGUGUGAGUGUUGCAUGUUGCAUGCAUGCAUGCAUGGGGCUUACUCCCUCCCAUUGACAUGUUCAUAUUUCAAGCUUCCUCUGUUCCCUCCAUAUGGUAAUACUCCCUCUGUUCCCAAAUAGUACGGAGUAAAAGCCUCCCUCUGUUCCCAAAUACGGAGUAUUUGUCUUUCUACAGAUUUCAACAAGUGACUAGGUACGGAGCAAAAUGAGUGAAGUGAGCGUAGAGGCAUUGGGAUACUGUAGAAAGGAAGUCCUCGCGAUCCAUUAUUCCCCAUCUCGGUCUGAGAGAACUAUUCAACUAGUCUUCGUAGUGAAGUGACAAUACACACUGUAGUAGAUGGGACACGUAAAUAAUAAGCUGAACCAUCGUGUUGGUGUUACUAAAUCAGCCUUACCCAGUACUGCCAUCAUGUUUGCCAGUAGAGCACGCUUCCGCAAAUAUGCCUACGCACCUCUGUCCUCCAUUAACUGACAUAUGGGCCCUGUUGUGGUAGACCCACAUGACAUCGGUGUAACUAUUUACACUCCGAAGGACGGUAUAUCCUGGUAGUAGUACUAGUAGAAUUGAGAUUGAAUGCACUUUCUUCCCCGUCUUCCACUCUUCUUCCACCUCUCUUCUUCUUCCUCCUCUCUUCUUGUUCCUCCUCUCUUCCCCAUCGUCGGCCGCACACCAUUUACCCCCGCUCACUGCUCGCCCGCCCGCGCCAUCUUCCUUGGUAGCUCGCGCGUACCAUAUCCCCCCACUCACUGCUCGGCCACACAAGGAGAAGCUUCUUUGCUCGCCCGCCCGAAUCCACUUCCCCGCUGGCUCGCAGGCACCGAAAACCCCAAUGGCAGAACCGACUGACACGCAGAGCCGCGAUUGGAAUUCCCUCCCCGAUGUUCUCUUGGAGCAGAUCUGUAGUCGUAUGGAUCUACUCAGCACCGUCCGUCUGGCCGCAUGCUCGGUGUCUUCGUACCGUCUACUCGUCUGCAAUCGGCCGGCUCUUUUCAAGACACCCUGCUUGCUGAUGCCCGAUCCUCGCAGGUGGCCUAGACACCGACUUGAUGAUCCUACGGAGGUUGCCGUGGUGCCCCUCGACAUGCUACCACUACCCGUCCACCUGUCCUUCAUGCGCGGCCACUACUGGGCGGGCAUGAAGGCCAACUAGAUCGUCCUCAUCCACCACACCGGUAGUCUGUGGCGUCUCGUGGAUAUCUACACCCAGCGAGAGAUCACCCUUCCAUCGUUGGAUACCGCCGCCAUCGAGCCUCGCGGCCCGUCGGACACUCCUGCCUACUACGCACGAGACGCGUCAAGCUUUUGGCCCGACCUCUGUUUGCAGAAAGUUGUAAUCUGCGAAGUGCCCACACCAUCCGAAGACUACAUGCAUUACAAGCUCAUUGCCUUGUUCAACAUGGGAUUAGUCUAUCUGGAAUCCGGUCGCCAUACAUGGUUAUGGCUCAUCAUCAAUCUUGUCGAGGCAACAUUUCUGUCUGAUGCUAUAGUGCACGAUGGCAUCGUUCACGCGGUCGACGCAUCGAUUGGCUGCCUAUACUGGUGGAAUCUAUCAUCGUGUAAUUGUUCUAUCUCAUCUCAUCUUUACCUUAUGAAUACGACUGCCUGUUCAUUUGUUACAAAUUUAGAAUGCAUAUCAUGUCUAUAACCACAUCAUUGCUAUAUGUUCCUAUCAUUUCCUAGAUUUUUAUGACCACACAUGUUAUUGUUAGAGUUGAUAUGAGAACAAUUGGCAUCUAAUGAUUGUUAGAAUACAUAUUAUGAGCAUAACAUCUUGAUUGCUAUAUGUUACUCUCGUUUACAAGAUUUUUAUAACAACGCAUGUUAUUGCUUAGAGUUGAUAUGAGAAUAGUAGUAGUAAGUGCUAUGGUAGAAUAUGAGUAGGCGCUGUCAUAGCUGUUUUCCUCUCAUUGUUACAUGAUGUUUGAACCAUGACAUAUUGCUAGAAUAUGAAAGCCAUUGGCUUAUUUUUUUAACUUGGGGUAUGAUUAUGACCACGACAUUGCAAUUCUCUGUCUAUGAUAUGUGUCACUGUUAUAAUAAUCUUAAUUCCACACAUACUCUGAACAUGAUUGUUUAUUUUUGUCAUUUUGGUCUCCAAUUUGAAUUGUUGCAGCAGAUGCAAAUGCGCUGGCCUUCAUGAUUCCAGGACCUGGAAUCAUACCAGCCGAUGGGUGGUGGUUUAUCGCUCGUUCAGCUGACGGCGAUCAUUUGAUGCUCAUUCGCACGUACCAAAUUGACCAAACCAUUACAUCAAACCACAUGCAGUACAAUGCGUGGGGCGUUCAUGACAUUGAUGGCUAUGGCUGCUUCGUGUUCGAGAAAGAUCCCAGCUCCGUUGGGCCAGGCGUAUUCAACUGCAGGCGGGUUUACAGCCCCGGCAACCACUCCUUGUUAGGUGACACAAGAAUCCCGGCGGCGUGUUCGGGUAUUCUGGACUUCAAAUUUGGAGUACCACUUAUUUGUCGAAAUCUUUCAUCAUUCACUUAAAACAGUCGAUUGAUCAUACAUUGAGUACCAUAUAACUGGAAUUACCGAUGCAAGUCGAAGAAGGAUUAGCCGGUGCUGCCGGCUGGCGUCAAGUUUGAUCCCACGGAUCAGGAGCUGAUCGAGCACCUUGAGGCCAAAGUGAGUGCUGACAGCGCGAGAUUUCAGUCUCUCAUUGAUUUGUUCAUACCAACCAUCGACAGCGAGCAGGGCAUAUGCUACACCCAACCUGAGAAACUUCCAGGUAAGACACCGAUCGGCCGUCUACUUGCACAAACAUAUUCCUUUGUUUAUAGCUCUAUUUUUCUUUUUAGACGCAGACCUGGUGAAGCAAUUACAAUUUGACAGUUAAUAAAAAGUGAAAGAAGUGACUGCAACAUGCCAAAGAUGUUAUGAAAAUGCCAACUAGGUACACUAAAACCUGUAUUCCACAAUACUGCAGGUAUCACACUGAGUGGCCUAAGGAAGCAUUUCUUCCAGCACAAUUCUAGGGCGUUCAAAAGGGGCACGUGGACGCAUCGCAAGAUACAGUCAGAGUGCGGCAUGCACGCAAUGUGGCACAAGACCGGCAAUACCUUGCCGGUGAUGGUCAACGGCCGGCAGACGGGCAGCAAAAAAGGUUCUGGUGCUGCACACCAACAAGAACUUCGACCAGCAGAGGACCAACUGGGUGAUGCACCAGUACCACCUCGGGGACCUGGAGCAAGAGAAGGAGCAGGAGCUGGUCCCCUGCAAGAUUUUCUACCAGACGAACACUAGGGCCAGGAGUAAAAAGAUUAUAAGUUAGUUUGGUAUUGGUAGUUGUACUACCUUGUCGUCCGCAAAUUGGUAUUGUUGUUAACGAUCUUUUGGUAUGAACUUGCAUUUGCUUCCAACCAUCAUGCCGAGGGUCGACGUGGAUAUAAAGCUGAAUCAUUUGUUUCAAAACGAAUUUUCAGGCACCUGAUUUUUAUUUGAUGGGUAGCAUAAGCACCCGCCGUUCGAAUUCCCAGUUCUCCAAUUUUUUCGAAACAAGUGCAUGCACUUAUUAUCACGAUAAAAAAACAAUAUCCGUGCUGCAUCCCAGUUAUCAGUCUGUACUUGCAGAAUUCUCUCAUUUAUUGAGCACGUAUAUUGUUUUUUCAGGUCGAGCAAGUUUCAACUGGGUUGUAGACUGCCCAGGGUUGGUUUUGUUUUUAACAGGCCCAGCCCAUGACGACAACGGGGCACAAAGAUCCAGCAGGUAUCUACUGGCCUCUGGCCCGCCAGCGUUACUUAUAUUUUGUCUUACAACAUCCGCAAGCAGUUUUUUUACUAAAUCAAACACACAGCCUAGUUCUAUUUUCCUCUUGAAACGCAUGUCCUACAUCCGUUUUCUAAUCUCUACCUAUAGUUUUACUAGUUCAUAUACACGUAUCAUUAUAUUGAAAACACAUAAAAUUCCCUUUUCAUAUAUACAUCCUUAUUUUUGUUGUUUUUUCCCACCCAGCGCUGUUUUUUACCACUGGUUUUCCUUAAACCAACUCAAUUGUCCCACGUCUUAUUUGCUUACAAAAACAAAACGAUUUUUUUGGCAAAUCAAUAAGUUCUUAAAAAAAUGUUUAUCAUUUCGGGAUUACAACAGUUCGGACUCCACCGAAAUAUGCAAAAUAAGGUUGAACUUUUUGACCGUGGUCCUGGGCAGAAAAUGGGCUGUAAUAAAUUACUUAAGAAUUAGCAAAUGGGCUGCAAAUUAUAAAAAAUAGCAAAUGGGCUUUAUGUUGUCUGCCACAGAUUUGGAGGCUGACUUGUGGGCGUACUAAGUUCAUGCGUACACAAGGUUUCUCAAAAAAGAAACUUAGUCAACAAUCGACUCUACCAGCAUCAGACCGUUAGAUGUCAAUCUAACGGCAAUCGUGCUUCUUCAGUCUCUGAUCUUCCUGCCCCAGCCGCCCAAACCAGCGCCAUCGGAACCGCCUGCUCCCGCCUCCCGUGGCCGGCAAUGCUGCCGGGCAGGCCUCACGGCCCCAUCAUACUAGCAUCCCUGGCCUGUCUAUCCCUCUACUCACCCACACCUCCUGUUAUUUUCCGGCUACGGCAACCGAACCAGUCAACCCUCGUACUCUCCACCGCGUGGGCAGCCACUGCCGUGUCUUCCCCGGCUCCGUGUCGUUCCCUUCGUAGGCCUCGCCAUCGUCCACCGCCCUGGUGCUCUCGGCGCGGCGUGGUCAACGAUGUCCAUCCAACGGCCGUAGUGCUUCUUCAACCUCUGGUCUUCUUGCCCCAGCCGCCCAAAGCAGCGCCGGUCGUGCCGCAUGCUCCUGCCUCCCGUGGCCGGCUGUGCUGCCGCGGAGGCCUCACCGUCCCCAUACUACUCCCACCGCUGGCCAGGCCAUCCCUCCACUCAUCCACUCCCCCUGUUAUUCUGCGGUGACGGCAGCCUCACACCGCAGCCGAACCAGUGAACCCUCGUACUCCUCUCCGCGCGGGCAUCCACUGCCGCGUCUUCCCCGGCUCCGCGUCGUCCCCUUCCUAGGCCUCGCCGUCGUCCACCGCCGUGGUGCUCUCGGCGCAGCGUGGUCAAUGUGGUCAACGACCGACUUCCAUCGGAAGCGUACUGUACGUGGAGAGGCUGACAGCUGGGUCCACGGCAGCCGCAAGGAAGUGCCUCCUUAUUACGCGCAAAAUAAUUAUUCCUCCACCUGACAGCAGGGACCCACCGGACGGGCCACCAGUAUUUUGCGGAAAAAACGUUUGCCCCUGACUGCUGGGACCCACCGGACGGGCCACCGUAUUUCGUGGAAAAAACGUUUGCCCCUGACUGCUGGGACCCACCGGACGGACCACCGUAUUUCGCAAAAAAACGUUCCCCCCGCUGUCAGCUCAGACCCACCGGAAGUGCCUCCUUAUUACGCACAGAAAAAUGAAUACCCCCUGCUAGCUAGGACCCACCAUGGUGGGAGGCUGACUUGUGGGCCUACUAAGUUGACGGGGACGGAGGGCUUUGUCAACUUAGUCAAUAUGGACGAUUCUAGCUCCAGUGACCGUACGAUGUCCAUCCAACGGCCGUCGUGCUUCUUCAAUCACUGCUCUUCCUGCGCCAGCCGCUCGAACAAGCGCCGGCGGGACUGCCUGCUCCCUCCUCCCCACGGCCGGCUCUGCUGCCGCGCAGGCCUCACCACCCCACCGUACUCCCAUCGCUAGCCUAGCCAUCCCUCUACUCACCCACACCUGCUGUUAUUCUCCGGCGACGGCAGACGAACCAGUAAACCCUCGUACAGUCGUACUCCCCUCCACGUGGGAAACAACUGCCGAGUCUUCCCUGCCUCCGUGUCGUUCCCUUCCUAGGCCUCGCCGUCGUCCACCGCCCUGGUGCUCUCGGCGCGGCCUGGUCAACGUGGUCAACGACCAACAUGCAUCUGAAGUGGACUGUACGUGGAGAGGCCGACAGCUGGGGCCACGGCCGCACGCAAGGGAGUGCCUCCUUAUUACGCUCAAAAUAAUGAUUCCUCCACCUGACAUCAAGGACCCACCAAAAGGGCCUCUGUAUUUCGUGAAAAAAACUUUACCGCCACUGACAGCUCGGACCCACCAGCUAUAUCUUCGCACGCAAGGAAGUGCCUCCUUAUUACGCACAAAAAAAUGAAUACUCCUCCUGUUAGCUGGGACCCAGUAUAGUGGCAGGCUGACUUGUGGGCCUACUAAGUUGACGGGGACGGAGGGCUUUGUCAACUUAGUCAAUAUGCACGAUUCUAGCUCCAGUGACCGUACGAUGUCCAUCCAACUGCCGUAGUGCUUCUUCAACCUCUGGUCUUCUUGCUCCAGCCACCCAAACCAGCGCCGGUCGUGCCUCGUGCUCCUGCCUCCCGUGGCCGGCUGCGAUGCGGUGGAAGCCUCACUGCCCCCUACUACUCCCACCGCUGGCCAGGCCAUCCCUCUACUCACCCACACCCCCUGUUAUUCUGCGGCGACGGCAGCCUCACACCGCAGCGAACCAGUGAACCCUCGUACUCCUCUACGCGUGGGCAUCCACUGCCGCGUCUUCCCCGGCUCCGCGUUAUCCCCUUCCUAGGCCUCUCCGUCGUCCACCGCCCUGGUGCUCUCGGCGCGGCGUGGUCAACGUGGUCAAGGAACGGCUUCCAUCGGACGUGGACUGUACGUGGAGGGGCUGACAGCUGGGUCGACGGCCGCAGCAAGGAAGUGCCUCCUUAUUAUGUGGAAAAUAAUUAUUCCUCCACCUGACAGCGGGGACCCACCGGACGGGCCACCGUAUUUCGCGAAAAAAUGUUUCCCCCCUGACUGCUGGGACCCACCAGCUACACCUUCGCACGCAAGGAAGUGCGUCCGAGCAAAAAAAAAACAAAACGAUUCGCCCCCCUGACUGCUGGGACCUACCAGCUACAUCUUCGCACGCAAGGAAGUGCCUGACAGUCGGGACCCACCUGGUCUAAGCGUACGUAGCGUUGUCAUUCUGGUCGCGAACGUGUACGUACGUAUAUACUGGUGGAUGUAGAGGCGCGCACGUGUCGUAGUAGAGGCGUGUACAUGUCGUAGUAGAGACGCACACAUAGCAUGUACACGUACGUAUAGCGGCCAGGGUGCAAGAAAGAAAAUACGGCCACGUAUGUGUAUAUACGGGCGGGGUCUCGAACGCCUACUCGCGCAUACGUACGGCCAGGGCUCGUGUACAUGGCUGGGUCGGAACGGAGAAACAGCGUCGUCGUCGUGUUCAUGGGGAGGCAAUGGAAUGCGUCGUGUUCAUGGGGAGGCAACGGAAUGCGUCGUGUUCAUCGGGAGGCAACGGAACGCGUGGGAGCCAACCGGCUGGGUCGGAACGGAAUGCGUGGUCGUGUUCAUCGGGAGGGCUUGGACGGAACAGGCGAUGGAAACGAGGCCUGGCGUACCGCAGAACGGAGAAAACGGACCUCCUACGGUCGAAACGGGGGUCCUAUUGAUCGGGAGGGGUGUGGCGUACCGCAAAACGGAGGAAACGGACCUCCUACGGUCGAAACGGGGGUCCUGUUGAUUGGGAGGGGUGUGGCGUACCGCAAAACGGACGAAACGGACCUCCUACGGUCGAAACGGAGGUCCUGUUCAUCGGGAGGGGUGUGGCGUACCGCAAAACGGGACUCCACGGGAUACUGUUCAUCUCCACCGUCGACCUCCUCCAGCCUCCACGGGCUACCGUCGACCUCCUCCAGCCUCCACGGGCUCCUGUUCAUCCAGCCUCCACCGCGCGCUACUCCACCAGCUACUGUUCAACCACCCCUCCACCGUCUACUGUUUAUCCAGCCCUCCACACCACGGGGUCCUGUUCAACCACCCCUCCACGGGCACCCCUCCACCGUCUACUGUUCAUCCAGCCCUCCACACCACGGGGUCCUGUUCAUCCAGANNNNNNNNNNNNNNNNNNNNNNNNNNNNNNNNNNNNNNNNNNNNNNNNNNNNNNNNNNNNNNNNNNNNNNNNNNNNNNNNNNNNNNNNNNNNNNNNNNNNNNNNNNNNNNNNNNNNNNNNNNNNNNNNNNNNNNNNNNNNNNNNNNNNNNNNNNNNNNNNNNNNNNNNNNNNNNNNNNNNNNNNNNNNNNNNNNNNNNNNNNNNNNNNNNNNNNNNNNNNNNNNNNNNNNNNNNNNNNNNNNNNNNNNNNNNNNNNNNNNNNNNNNNNNNNNNNNNNNNNNNNNNNNNNNNNNNNNNNNNNNNNNNNNNNNNNNNNNNNNNNNNNNNNNNNNNNNNNNNNNNNNNNNNNNNNNNNNNNNNUCGAUCGGCUUCAGUUAGCAGCAGUAGCGAAGGAAUCGCUCGAUCGGGUUCAGUUAACAGACAUCGAUCGAUCGCUCGGGUUCAGUAAUGCGUAGCCUGCAGUGUAAUCGCUCGGGUUCAGUUAGAGCCCAACCCCUCGCUCGGGUUCAGUUAGAGCCAACGCCUCGCACACACGCGCGUACGUGUACGAGAGAAACGCACAUCGCUCGGCCCCCGACCUACCACCGUAACCGGGAACUCCCCGAAAUUUUCCUCGCCCUCGCUUCUACCAUGGUUUUUUCCGUCAUGGACGGCCCAAAGAAUGUCAUGUAGCUGCGUCUCCGCCCGCCCAGGACGAAAAGCCCAUUUUCUGUCAUGAUUUUUUGUCAUAGAAGUAGGAGCCCACCACAUCUAUGAUGAUACCGGGUUUUGUCACAAUUAUCGUCAUAGAAGUGUCACAUGUAUGACAGAAAAAAAUUUCGUUUGGCCCAAAAUGUCACGGAUGUGUCUUUUUUUGUAGUGUAAGGGGCCUCUGAAACCGGGACAAAUGGGCCGGUUUCUACCAGUGGAAGCUCCAUCCUCCUUUCUCGUCCUCUCUUCCUUUUCUCAUAUCAGCUUUCAUCCAUCUCCCAUACUGUUGCACCUCACCUCUCCCUAGUCCAAUAGAACACGCCUUGUCCACGUGUCCAAUUAUACCACACGUGUAACAAAAAUCAGGGAGGUACUCAUACUCUAGGGGGCACCAUUUUUGCUCAUCAUCUUUCUUCUUUCUUUUAUCCACGUCCAUCACUUCUGCAGACUCCUUGUCUUCUCCCGUUCAAUAUCCAAAGUGAUUCCUCUCAACAGUGGCUUUGUAAUGUCUAGUCUAACUUUCAGCCUAAGGAAACUUCCAGCCACAUUAUCAUCAUCCCCCUGGUUACCUCCAUGAACUCGCCAAUCUCGUCACCAAUGAUCCCUCCGUUUUCUUCACUCAUGAAACCUAGCGGCAUCUUGGUCACCCUGACCCAAAUAGGGAUGAUAGUGAACUCAUACUCUUCUAGCGUUUUAGCUGGGUCGAAAUCUACCAUCACAAUCAGGUUCUUGCCCACCAUCCAUGGCCCUUCCUCCAAUGCUUUCCUCUUCCCCGCUGCUUGCAAGAAGGUGAAAAGAAAGGUGUUGUCCUCUAACUCCUUGCACUUGAUUCCCUUGAUCGGACACCACGCUCUUCCGAGGGAUUUAAUCAUACCUUCCACAUAUACUGGUUUGUCGGACAUAACCUUACCGAUCGCCUGUGGAUCUUCCGUUCCCGUUCUCCUCAACCCGCCCCUUCCGAUCUUGACUCCCUUCUUCUCUGCUUCUGGCAACCGCAACUUCUGCAUCAAACCUUCCACUUUCUCCAUUGUGUCGAGGACUUGCAUCAAUCUAUGGUUUACUAGGUGGUUGUAUUACGAAUGGAUGCCCUAGCAACACUCGUAAGGCUUUUGGUGGAUGGGUGAGCGGUCUCGAGAUCAAUCUAGCAAGGAUCGCCGAGGCUAGGGGGAGAGUUUGCUGGCGUCGGCCAGAGACGGGGUCGCCUGAGGGGACUCUAGGGUUUACCAGGAGUCACCGUAGAAUCCCCUGGGAAUCGCCCAAGCGCCAAUCAUGGAACCGUCACCCAAGGGACGGACGGGUUAAGGAUGAUAAUUAAAGCGGACUUUGAUAGAGAGACACGUGAGAAAUAGAGUGAUAGAGAGAGAUACGUGAAAAUUAAAGCGGUUUUAAUUUCUUUCUUUUCUGUAAUUAAAGAGAUACGCAUGAGAAAUAGAGAGAUAAGAGAGAUACCUGAGAAUUAAAGCUGUUUUAAUUUUUUCCGUUUCUAUGAUUAAAGAUCUGAUCUACACAGUUACAAUCUUGACCUGCAAAAUCAACGGCCUCCAUUUUCUAUUUUUCUCUAAUUAAUGUGGGAAUUUCUUGGGAGUGCCUAUUAGUAUAGGUAUAUAUAUGUGCAAAAAUCUCGACAUUAAUGAACAUAUAUCUGGUGCACUUGCAAUCUUUUGUAGUACAUUAAUGAAUAUUUAAAGUAUUUUCCAACUCUUGCUAUUUAUAGACUUGUCGUCCGUGUCUGCCACAUUUGGAGUCCAACUAUUUCCUACUGGAACCUUACACUCCACUAGAACUGAGUUUGUCAAGUAACAGAUAACCAAUAUGAGAGGGAGCAGCCUAGUGCAGGCGACGAUGAUAUUCUUCAUUGGAUGCCUUGUGCUUUGUGCACAGUGUAAGUAUAUAUCAUCAUCGUCUUUAGAAUCUUGUGUUAACUUCUUGCCACUAAUUCUUCGGAUCAGACAUACAUACACACACACAUCUGCGGUACUGCAUACUAAGGUUAAAUAUACUAUACAGGUGCUCUCGAUAAUAAGCAAAGGAUGGUCAACCAGGAUGAUCAUGCGGCGAACACAAGUACCAACGCUACCAUCAUCAACUCAACAACUGUAGGCGAGAGCAAGAAAACCGAGAAAUUUUGCAGCCUCUUUCUCGUAUGUUAUUUCAACAUUGAGAUUCGUGCUGAGUGCUACUGUUGCGAGAAUAAGAAUGCCGACUGUUACAAGACGAAGAGUGAGUGCCUGCAAAAGUGCCAUUCCUACAACGGUUAAUGCCCACCUUCAUCGCGGUCUUUGGGAUAGAAUUCCAUAUGCUUGGAAAAUUUGCCCGUCGGUAAUAAAAGGCACCUUAUAUGGUUUGGGCAAUUAGGUUCCAAUUAAACAUGAGAAAGCCCGCAUGUUUCCGUGUAGAUCCAACAAGGAAAAAUUUGAUGAAAGAAAUCCAAGUAACUAGUUGUCUUGCAUAUUUACAAAGUUCAAAUCCUUUGGUUGUUGUGCUUUGACUCGAUUGUCUAUUAUGCUGUUUCAUUUACUUGCACAUUGCCCACUUGUUCAUUUAACACACAUCACCCACUUGGUGAUUUGCUAGUUGUGGGCUGACAGUCAUAUAGAUUUUUUUUUUUGAGAUCUCGUCAUAUAGAAUUGUAAUAGCACUGACAUGGAAAAAGUUAAAAACUGAAAAACUGAAAAAAGUAAAUCAAACAAACAAAUGGUGCGCAAACUAAAUCAGACGGCACAAGACAAGUGAGAUUUAGUCAGGACUCUUUCAGAUGAAGAUAAGCAAAUUGCAAGAAAACAACAUGCAGAAACAUUUUUAUAUCAUAGCAUAACAUGCAAAAAAGCACAUAUAUAGUACAACGACAACCCACGUGUCUAUACGCUAUCUAUAUGUAUAUCUAUCUAUCUAUCUAUAUCUAUCUAUCUAUCUAUCUAUAUAUAUCUAUCUAUUUAUACCUACUAAUAAAAGACGGAGCAUUUAUGCCCAUCCGUCUCAUGUUUUGCAACAAAAUACCCUACUUUUUUCUUUAAUUACCCGCGGUCAAGGUUUAGGUGAGGUUCGUCCGUUGUGUUUUUUGCAAAGAACGAGGAAAUGGUUGCGUUUUGUGAGAUUCAAACUCAUGAUGUCCCCUCCAUGCCCAAAAGCCACAGCCAACUGAGUUAGCAUGCACUUGUGCUACCAAAUAGGUCCAUUAUUUCAUUAAAUUGUCCAACCAUGAUACUUUGCAUAAGAAUACGCAAAUUUAUAUGUGAUUUCAAAUUGCCUGGAAAUCAACAAGCCAACUCGAUAACCAAGAAAUAGAGGGAGAGGAGGAAUUCACUCAAUAAAUAGUGUUAACUAGCAGGGUUUCCCGUGCAUUUGCGCGGCUAGAUUGACCCUUUCCGAUGCCAACUAUAUGGCCUUUCACUAAACUAUAUUUUGAUUAAAUUUACACCCUGUAUAUGACAUCAUAGAAAAAAUGAAAAUCGCAAUGAAACAUGCAAGUGCAUUAGGUUGUUCAUUUUAAUAUAGAAGUGCAUUAGGUUUUUAAAUAAAUUCCUUGGGAUGUCAGGUUGCAACACCGAUAAAAAACCAUGUAUGGGAUUUCAUGCCAAUCUUGGUGUUUUUCGUCUUUGAUCACUCCUCCUUUGUAUCAUUUAAUAGGUUUUCGAGAAAUUCCCUACCAAGACUUAAAUCUAAACAUGAAAUUCUGGUAUGUAAAGGUCCCUUCUUCUAGUCAUAUCAAUCAACGGACGCAUUCUUAACUACCUUUUCUUGAUUAAUGCUGCCUACCCACUUAUGUAUCAAGAGAUUGACAUCUUCUAUCGUGCUUAUUUUUUCUAUUGAUAAUAUUUUACAAAAUAUUAUCUUUGACUCACUCCCUUUUAAGCUUAUUCAUGAUGAUCAUGGCUGUUUUAUUGCAUCAUCUUGUAUUUUUGUAUUUUUCUAUAAUUAUAUUAAGGGAAAGGUGUGACAGCUCCCAGGUGCGGGGGCACCCUCAUGAACAAUAACUUCAAAACAAUACGAAAAAAAUCGAAAAAAUCUGAAAUUUUGGGGGAUCAAAUAUGAUCAAACUUUUGAUGUUAUUGCAAAUUUCAGCCAGAAAUAACACUCGAGGAGCCCUCAUAAAAACAAUUACUGCUCAAAAGUACACAUAAGUUUGAACACCGAUUUUGUUUUUUUGUGAGGGCUGCACGAAUGUUUUUUGAUGCUAAAACUUUGCAUGAACGUUGAAUGUUUGAUCAUAUUUGAUCCCCCAAAGUUUCAGAUUUUUUCGAUUUUUUCAUAUUGUUUUGAAUUUGCUGUUCAUGGGGGUGCCCCUGCACCCGAUAGAUGAAAGUCCAGUCUCUUAUAUUAAUCAUACAAGUAAUUGUAGACCAAAUAUGUUUAAAUUUUUUGUUCAUGAAUUUCAUAAGGAAUGAAAAUACUAUUUGAAACUUCAUCUUAUUUUUCAUCCGAAUUUCAUACGGACAGUGUGCUUUACAUUCUUCAUCUGAAUUUUUUGUGAACCAUGCAAGGCAACUGUGAUCAUUAUGUAUAGGAGAUAGAGGGAAAAACCAUUCUACAUCUGAUUUUCAUUUUAUUAAGUUAUUAUUAAGUUAUUCGUCACCUUGGGUGAGGAAUAGUUAUUCUUCACCCUCUCUAUUUUACCAUCAAUGCACCGUAAUUUUACGUUACGUAAGUUUUGUUUUAUUUCCGACGUAAAAAGAGACCGUAAGAAAAUAUAUAAUCAUCGUAAAAAAUAUUUUAUGUUAUGUAAAAUUACAAACGUAAAAACAUAGUGUAAAAUAUACAUAAACUGCAAAUUUUCUUGUCUUAUGACCUAUAUUUUUUUUCUUAUGCCAAAUUUUAUGUAGUGAAUCAAUAAAAAGGUAAAUAUUUGAAUUCCAAACGUAAUUUAAUUAUGAAAUGAUCGUAAGAUUACUUCGGGUGAAGAAUAACUUAUUAUGCACCCAAGGUGAUGAAUAGUAUUGAUUUACUGCAGAAUAAGUUACAUUCAUAUUGAUUUACUACAGAAUAAUCUUCCGAUCAUUUCAUAAAUAAAUUACAUUUGAAAUACAAAUAGUUACAUUCAUAUUGAUUUACUGCAUAAAAUUUGGCAUAACAAAAAAUAUAUAGGUCCAAAAUUGUAUUUUAUGUACAUUUUACACUAUGUUUUUACUUUUGUAAUUUUACGUAACAUAAAAUAUUUUUUACGACAAUUAUAGGUUUUCUUACGUUCUCUUUUUAUGUCUAAAAUAAGACAAAAUUGACAAAGCGUAAAAUUACGGUGUAUACAUGUUAAAAUAGAGGUGGGUGAAGAAUAACUAUUCCUCACUCAGGGUGACGAAUAGUCAAUCCCUAUAUAUAUAUAGCUGUAUCUGCUAUGGUUUUUAUAAACAUUUUGGUUCAUCUAUAGUUCUACACCAUUGUAAUCUUGAACCACAAUCAUUGUUGCAAUUAUAUCAUCCUAUGUCGACGAAUUGUAGUGACUUAUUUUGUUUGGUGUUCAUAUAAAAUUUAAAAGAAUAUAUUCUUUUGCACUGUAUUUGUUUGUAUCGAGAGCUACAAUGAUUAGUAUACUGCAGACAAUAUUUUGACCUAAUGUUGUGCCUUGUUUUCCAGUCGACCGCUUUGCUAUCUCUACCUAAUAUUAAAGGAAGGAUUGUUUCUUCACAAAAUUUCGUUUAUGGUGGGACCCACAAGUUUUUUUGUCCAUCCCUCUUCGUUUAUGAUGGCAAAAAACUACGACGCAAAGAAAAUAAUAAUACGCCGGGCACUCCUCUGGCCAAAAAAUUAUGCCGCAAGGACUCGAACCCAGGCGCUCACGCAAGACAGCCAGCCACUGGAAUAAACAAAAUCAUGUGUUUAGCUAAUGCGCACUUUUAUAUAUGUACGCACCUGCUUUUCAGUCAGAAAAAAAAUACGCAUCUAAACGUGUACGUAUCGUGCAAUCAAUCAGCCUCAACUAAAGCUUCAAAACAAAAAAAAGCCCCAACUAAAAAACAUGUACGCAUCUGCUUGCAAUGAAAAAAAAAAAA